UGUGCACAGGCUGGGGAUAGGUGCAGCGGGGGUAGGGUGGACCAAGGCGGACCACGAGAUGUGCAGCGACGUCAACAGGAGGAUAUGCGCGGGCGGCUCCUCGCCUCAGGGCGGGGCAGUUGAUGGCGGGCCCACUCACCCCAGCCCGCCAGCAGCAGCAGCGCCGCCCGCCAAACCAAGCCACAGCGUUGCGACAAUCGUUGGCUGUUGCCUCUCCCUCCAGUGGCCCAGUCAGCACGCAUCCGACGUACAGCCAGAACGCGGAACCAAUCCGCGCUUAUGCGUGUCAAGCAUGGAGUGCAUGCUUGGGUAAACGGAUUACCUAGUUAGUGUCGCUGUCUGUGUAUGACAUGGAGCAAGGUCACGCAUACGGUACUCAUCGCUGUCGUGCACUUUCUUCUUUAGUGGGCACGCAUAAGUAUGCUUUGGGCGCGGAUGCAUUUUGCGGGUGGCUCCCUGCUCUUGCAGCAGGGCAGUCCUCGGAGGCUUGUGUGCCAGUGCCGCUAGGGACCGACAUGCCACCCGCCACACCAAACCCAUAGCGUUGCGACAAUCGUUGGCUGUUGCCUCUCCCUCCAGUGGCCCAGUCAGCACGCAUCCGACGUACAGCUCAAGCCACGCACCGCACGGCCCACGUGACGUGGCGCCUCCCUUUCCAACCGCGUUGUGUCUCCCACCACCCUCGACGCACGCACACCCUCCCAUAGUCCAUUCCGCUCCCUCCUCCCUCGUGCCCAUUGUGCCGCCCCGCAGGUGGAGUACCUGGAUGACGAGGACGUGCAGCUGGAUGAGGAGGACAUGGAGGACUGGGAGGACGGCGAGGACGACGACGACGAUGAGGAGGUGAGGAGGAAAAAGGCGGCGCGCGGGGAGGACGCCGGGGCAGCCGGAUGGUAAUGCAGGGUCGUGGGGGGUCAGGGACGUUGCCGGGCGUGUAGGAGAAGGGGUGUGUUUGUAAGUGGGUAUAAGGGAGCGUGGAAAGGGCAGCCAAUGUGGAAGGGUGUUGGGAAACAGCGGUUUGCGUUGGUGUCAUUUGGAACCGCUCUAGGAUCUCCUGGGAUUAGGCGCUGAAUGUGGCAAAGUGCAGAUCCACUCAGCGACAAGGGAGGAGGCAAGCGGCAACGUUUGUGCGGAAGCCGCCACGUCACUAGCGGCAUGCAGGGCCUGAGAAGCGGGCUUGAUACAGCAUGCCCAUAUCCACCCAUGGCUCUGCUGCAACCUUGCCUCUCACACCUCCCGCAGGGCGAUGAUGACGACGAGCGGCCCAGCGGCUCGGGCGGCAGCGAGGAGGAGGAGCCGGCCAGCAGCAGUGGCGAGGGCGACGACGAGGAGGACGCGGACGAUGUGGAAGGAGGAUCGGACCAGGAGCCGUCGCCGUCACGGAAACGGAAAGCGGCUCCCCCGCGCGGGCCCCAGCGACCAGCGGCAGCGGCGGGCAGGGGCAAGGGCGCAGCGGCGGCGGCGGCAGGAAAGCGGGCAGCGCCGCCGCAGAAGCGGCGGCGACAGGUGGAAAUUGAGUAUGAGGAGGAGCGGGAACCGGUGCGGCAGAUGCACUAACGCAGCAGCUGUUGCAGGGGCGGCGGGAGCGGCAGGGGGGUGGUGUCGCGGUGGCAGAGGCUGCUGCAGGGAAGAGGCAAACAAUGUAUAGCUCAGCAAGUAGGGGUGCGUGUGUGUGAAUGAGAAUACCUGCUGAUGAUGAGGGCGUGGCCUUCGAGUUGAGGCAGUUAGGUUGUGUUGAGCGUAUGAAUGCAGAAUUGUAGAAUCGAGUAUAGUACGCAUGCGGUAAGCACGCAGGGGGCAUCGCGCAUAUGCACCCCCACGGGGGCAGUGCAUGGCAUGGACUAUGGAUUGUGUGUGCGUGCGUGGCGGAAGAAAGCACUGGGCAACUUCUUAUUGUGACGCACUUCAAGGAUAAGCAGUCUCAAGCUGUGUUGGCACAAAAUUCAGGGCAGUCCAAGGAAAUUCGAAGCAGGUGUGAGAAGGCGUGCGGCCAGGUGCGACGAAGCGUUCGUCCCUGCGUUGUACCAUCGUUCCGGUCUGAGGAUGGCGAGUGCCAGCCCCCGUGGAGCCUGCCAGCUUGCACAAUCACCGCCUGUCGGGCCUGCGCUCCCAGUAGGUCCCAGUCAUGCCUGACAUGCCCAUGCAGACAUGUACACCUGCCAGGCCCGGAGCGUGAGGAAUGCGCGUCAGCAAAACAUCGACACAUCCUGCCAGCUACCGUCGGUACAGUAACAGCGCGCGAACGACGCACCAAUGCCUUGUCCCUUCUUGCUACGCAUUUAUGUGGGCACGGGUGGGAACCACACACAUCGGGACUACGCUUUCCUGCCCCUUGCCAUGUUCCAUCACGGACAUGUACACCUGCCAGGCUGCCAUCACCUGCCCCUUCCCAUUUGGCCAUUCGCGCCCCAGUUCCCCAUCCGGUCCCCGCGCCCAUGACACGGCAACGCAACCUUUUGAUCUACGACACCACGAACCGCCUGACAUGACCAGAUAAGUACAGCAUUGCGCGUCGUCAGCGAUGUGGGUGGCGCGAAGGCUCGGAGGCAGCCUAGGGGUGUUGCGGGCACCCGUGUCUGUACCUGGCCACUGCCAGUGGCGCUCCUUUAGCAGAAUUGAUGCCGUCAGGCAGCUUUUGAACGAGCAUCGGCGUGUUCCUGCGAGGGCUGGCGGAAAUGCCGCAUCGACAUCGGCGCCCAGUGGCUUGAGCGGCGCGUCAGUGGCGCAGUCGCCAGUAGGGAAUAAUGCAGAUCACGCUAAGGAAGGCGAUACGGUCAACACGCUGGUGAAGGAGCUCCUGAGGAUAUUCACGCGAAAGGUUCCAGGCUCGCUGGUGCCUGACGAGCUGGUGCGGGGCUUUGUCCACGUAAGUGUCAAGCAUUCCAACCAAAAAUUCGAUCCAGUGGGGGCUUUGACUGCGCUAGUGGGGGUUGGGACGCGUGUGCGGGUUUCACACGGCGGAGUGUCCCAUGCACGAGUCGCACAGCGUUUUACCGGUAAGGACCACUAAGUAAGGACCGCCCGGAUAGCGCGUGACCCCUCGGUGCCAGCGGGGCCUUGCCCCGCGGUAUCGGCUGCCGCGUACGAGCCACCUCCCCGCGCCCUUUAACGACUCAAAACCCGCGGUGCCCGCAGGCCUACAAGCAGCUGGGGGGCACGCAGGAGCGAUUGGACUUCUUUCGCCUGAUCACACGGGAGCUGGGGCUGUCCGGUGAGCGUGGCAUCCAGGGUGUUGGGUGGGUGCUGGGUGGGGCACAGGUCCACAGGCGCCUACUAGAACUGCAGCCGUGGCAAUGCACGAUGAACCCGCUAUCUUGAAUCAAGCAUGAGGCUCGAUAGUGGGUGACUGUUAGCCAAGGCUCUACUACCGUAUGUAUCGCCUCGUGAACCCAAACUGGCGGUGGCGACUCUUUAGGCACACCCAUGCAUGCAGUGAACGAGGUCAACACGGCGGUGCGAUCAUGGGACAGCGCCGUGGCACGCGGCGCGGCUUCAAUCGCCACCUCGACGCCCUCCCAACCCCAGGCGGCGCCAUCGCCGCUGCAGUGGGAUGCGGCCUACCGCGCCGCCGACCGCCUCGCGUCCGCCGCCACACCUCUGUACUCGCAGCUGUUUGUGCCAAUCAGCCAGGCACCGGAUGGUGAGUGGCACGGCAAGAAGGAACAGAGCGCUGGAAGAGGCGUUGUAGCACGUCAGGCAGGGGGUUGCUUUUAGCGGUGUUUACACUGGUGUGACGGGCAAUCCCUCGCGCCUGGGCCCAGAAUGUUCUUGACGCGGGGCUUGGGGCAGGCACGGAGACAGGCAAUUGUGCGGUGCGGCGGCGGCGUGCGCAGGCAUGAAGUUCCUUGUGGACAUGCGGGCCGACCUGAUGGACGUGGUGGCGGCGGCGACAGUGGCCGCACCCGCAUCCGCACCUGCAGCUGCACCUAACCCAGAAGCAGAAGCCUCGACCGCCGACGGCAGCAGCACCAGCAGUAGCACCCAUCGCGGAGUGGGAACGGCAGUGGCGCCCAGCAGCACAGGCGCUGCGGGGGAAGCGCAGGAGGCAGGUGGGCACACGGCGGGCGCGGUGGCGGCGGCAGUGGGUGCGGCGGCGCCGCCCGCCGCUCUCACGGUGUCACUGGAGGAGUCUGCGCACCUGCGGGCCAUGGCCGAGCAGCUCAGGUGAGGUGAUGGUGGUGGCGGUGGUGGCGGUGGUGGUGGCGGUGGUGGUGGUGGUGGUGGUGGUGGUGGUGGUGGUGGUGGUGGUGGUGGUGGUGGUGGGGCUGGUGUCAGUGGUGUCAGUGGUGUCAGAGGUAUCAGUGGUGAUGGUGAUGGCGAGUUCGUUGUUGUUACCCCGCGACCGCUGCUUCUGCCGCUGCCGCCUGUUGAUACUGAUGCCCAGCUACCGACCCGCCGCGCUGCGCCCUCCCCCCCCCCGCACACGCGCACUGCGCUGCAGGCAGCUGCUGGCCGAGUGGUUCAGUGUGGGGCUGCUGCACCUGCAGCACAUCUCAUGGGAGGAGUCGCCGGCGGCCUUGCUGGUGAGCAGAGCGGCCGUGAGGCGUUUGCCAGAACACGACUUUCGCCCUUCCGUUGCCUUUUCGACAAUCCUCCUCCUUUUACUCUGUUCACCACACGCUCGCGGGUGUGCUGUCACACGCCCGACACGCAGGAGCGGGUGAUGCGGGCGGAGGCGGUGCAUCCGCUGGGCGGCAGCUGGGAAGAGCUGCGGCGGCGGCUGGGCCCGCGGCGGCGCGUGUUCGCGUUCACGCACCCCUGCAUGCCGGGAGAGCCGCUGGUGGUGCUGCACACCGCGCUCAUGAACCGGGUGAGGGGGGGGUUGCAAAUACCAGCCCAAAUUAAACCAGACCAUGCUAAACUAGCGGAGCGCAGGCAGAGGCGUUAGUUGAAAUGCGUAAGUGCGAAUGCGAAUGCAGACGUUAGUUGCAAGCGAUAAUACUUAUGGGAGGGGACCGCAUGAGGAGGCGGUUAGGGUGGCUGCCAAGAUGCCGCGUGAGGUGACAGCUGGUGUCGGGGCCGGGGCCGGGACUAUGGGGCCGGGACCGGGUAUGCAUGCAGCGCUUGUGCAUGUGCGUUUGAGGCGGGUCUGUGCGACCCAAGGCCGUGUGCGCCUCUGCUAUCCCUGUGGCACCACGUGUCUAAAGCGCCCGCAUCUGGUUGCGCUGUGCGCUUCAGCCGCUGACCGGCUUCACACACCUCCACCUGUGCGGCCCCUCUGGCCUUGCGCUUUUCCCACGCACAGCCAGCUGCCUGCAUUGACGACAUCCUGUCGCACCACGACCGCGCCGGUGAGCCGCCGGCCGCCUGUUCCCCCACGCCCGCCGCCGCUUCCUCCUCCGCCGCCUCCGGCCCCACCACUGCCGUGUUCUACUCCAUCUCGUCCAGCCAGCCCGGGCUCAAGGGCAUCGAGCUGGGCCACUUCCUCAUCCAGCGGGUCGCCGAGAGGCUCACGGUGCGUGCGGCGACGCGGCUGCUGGUGUGGGGUGGUGCAGGGACUGGUGCGUGCGGCAAGGCGCAGGAAAUGGCGCGCACGUGUGCUUGAGUUGCUAGGAUGGUGGGCGGGCCACCCCUACACACGUGCACGUGCCGUGCCCACAACAUGUCCACCCACUCCGCACCCUCUGCGCAACAGGCCGAGCAUCCCAGCCUGCGGCAGCUGGUGACGCUGUCGCCGCUGCCCAACUUCCGGUCCUGGCUCACGUCGCAGCUGCAGCAGCAGCUGAUGCUGCCGCAGGCGGCAGCCGGCAGCGCCAGCAGCGGCGCCAGUCCCCAGCAGCAAUCCGAGCAGACGCAACCGCAACCGCUCCUGCUGCCGGCUGAGCAGGUGGCAGUGGUGGGCCUGGCGCGAGCCAUGGGCUGGCGGUGCGCAGACCCAAGCCCAGGCAGCCCCGGAGCAACGGCGGUGCCAGUGGCAGUGCCAGGUCCGACGGUGUCGCCGACGGACGCGGCGGCCGCCCUGGCUUGGCUGUUGGACGGCGACCGAUGGCUAUCCGGCGCCAGUGGCGGCAGCGGCGAUCCUGCCGCUUCGGUACCGGCAGCCUUCUCGCCUCCUUACUUGAAUGCCCCAAGUGAUGCCGCCAACGCCGAGGCCACGGCCGCCGCCGCGCUCUCAGGCCCCUUCGCGCACCCGCCCCAGCCCGAAGCGGCAGUCCAGCCGCCGCCUCCAGCUGCGCCGGGCAAAGCUGUGUGCCCGGGCCCGGACGCCGAUGCGGUGCUGCGGCCGGUGCUGAUGCGGCUGGCGGCGCGGUACCUGGUGUGUGAGAAGCGGCGGUCCUUUGCGCUGUGCCCCGUGGCCAACUUCCACCUGCGCAAUGGGGCGUCGCUGUGGCGCAUCAACUGGAGGUGAGGGCAGGGCAGGGCAGGGCAGGGCAGGGCAGGGCAGGGCAGGGCAGGGCAGGGCAGGGCAGGGCAGGGCAGGGCAGGGCAGGGCAGGGCAGGGCAGGGCAGGGCAGGGCAGGGCAGGGCAGGGCAGGGCAGAGGGCAGGCAGGGCAGGGGCGCUGACAUGGCGGGUCGGCAGCCAGCCCUACGUGCUGGCCCGCCUUGCUGCCAAAUGUGUGAAAGUGCCGUGCAAUCACACAGGUCGCUGGCUACUGCCGCAAUCAUUACGGUCACAGUGCCGCCAACACGUCCCGCCCCAAUCCAUGGGCUCGAGCAUGAACCCGCCCCUUAAUUAGUUCAUGAAUGUAAACCCCGCUCCCCCCCACAUGUCGUGCAGGGCUGACACGAGCCAUCUGGGCCUGCGCCGCAGCUUGGGCAUCAUGUGCAACUACCACUACCAGCUGGAUAGUGUGUACGACAACAACAGGCGGUACCUGCUGCAGCAUGAGGUGGGGAGGUAGGGGGUGGGUGGGAGAUGGGGCAGGAAGGCGGGAGGUUAAGGGGGUGGGAGGUGGGGGACGUGCAAGGUGGGUGCGGCGGCGAAGGGCCAAGGUGUGGGUGGGCAGGCGCGGGGUCUGCAGUAGGUGGGCGGCCGCGCAGGUGCAGGUAGAACGGCUGCAGUGCACAAGUACCGCAUCGUAGUGUUACUGCAUCGCCUGUGAAGCGAUGUGAAGCAAGGUGUGAAGCGUUGUUCGAGGCACGCUAUGACGCUGACGCCCAUGCGGGAGUCCUGUAUCUGAACAUUGCUGAUACUGCCUUGCAGGUGACGACGCACCCGCAAGUGCACGAGCUUCUCAGUCGCCAGCAGUGAUGGCGCUUGCGCGGGGUUGGGGGUGGGGUUGGAGGGUUAGGAGGAGGAUGUCAGGAAGGGUUGUGCGGAUCAAAUAGCACAGCAGGUCAAGCCGAAGGUUGCCUCCGUUGUCUUAUGACUUUCCUGGACGAGGACCCUUUGAAUCGGUAUUGGUGUGUAUAAGCGCGUGUUGCACUUGCAACGGCAAGGAGGCGAUGAUUGCAGGACAGGGUGCUGUCAGGGCCGUGCACAUUCCCCAUGCGUGUGACCAACCCCGCCUCACCUUGCCCAGAGAACCGGAGGUCCGCUGCUCGGACGGCCCCCGGAAGCGCGAUUGUAAUCAUCGCUACCUGCAUUAACGCUGAGAGUGGCUACAUAGGCCGCCUCGGUUGUAGGUCCUUAACUCACGCCUUAACUUUACGAGCGUGCAAGGACGUGGGGCGGGGGGCUAGGCGUAGGACCAUGCUGCUGAGGCUGGUAGGUGUGCGUGUUGAACAUCGAUAGGGGGUGCGCGGGCACCAUAUCACCAUAUGGCGUGGUAACUGCGCUGAGCCCAUGUAAGCAGCGGACAGGGGCAAUCCUGGGGGACUUCGCCCCCCCUGGAUCGCUUCGCUCGGGGGGGGGGGGGCUCAGCCCGGAAAACGACGUGCUGAAGCAUAUAAGUUCAGUCAAACAUAUGGAUACUGGCCGCUGGGACGUGCCACGUGUAGGGUGAUGGGGUGGGAGACGGGAGUUCUUGACUGGCAGCCCAUUGCACAUGACCGAGCGAUUCUGGCUGCAAGUUAUUUAAACGCAGAGUCUCUCUACUUGCUUGACUUACUGAGGAAAGAAGGAGUGCGAUACACUAACAGUCAUUUCGUGAUUUCGGGCUUUGACCAACUCACUCCGUGCCCGAGACCCUUUCUCGCAAAUGAAUUUAGCUAGAAUUACACGUCGCUUGUUAGCAGGACCCGACGCGGUCGAUGCAGUUGAAGCAGGUUGUUCCUGUGGAGAAUCUGAAGAACAUGUCUUCAACAUCUAUUAUGUAUUUACCUGUAUCCUUCUGGUCGUCGUCUCGGGCCUCUGCUCUGGCCUUACACUCGGUGCGAGCAAAGUGAGCCGAUUCGGGUGCGACGCUUCUCGACUGAACAAUUGUGUCUCCUCUGUUCGUUGCAGGACUGCUCUCGCUAGAUGUGGUGGUGAGUACAUGGCCAGGCGCCUGGUCGCUUUAGGGGGGUGCUGUACCCUGCCGCUGCACUCGGUGUCGGGUGUGGCCGGAUAGUCCGAAGAAGCAUGACCGCCACGCAUGACCGCCUAGUGCAGUGGGACUCUGGGGUCGCAUGGAAUUUCGGCGGUGUCUAAGGGGUCGCGGGGGCCAGCGCCGGAGCCACCGCACAGCUUCUCGUGUGUCCGACACGGCACGUGCGCAAACCACUCGCACGGCAAAGCGGGGUAGCCGAUCAGCUGUAUUUCACGCAGCUGUUUCGUACCCCAGACCUCAAGCCGUGGAGCGGUGCAGAACCCCAGGCACGCCGCUAGGGCGCUGCGGAACCUGAACGCGUGUUUAUGGAAGUGCGUUACGCCCUGCCGUGACAGGAGUUGGAAGUGCUGAAGCGGAGCGGGAAACCGCGGGAGCAGAUGUAUGCCGAGCGCAUCAUGCCUGUAAUCAAGAACACGCACCACCUCCUCGUGACGCUGCUGUUAUGUAAUGCAUUGGCGAUGGAGGUGAGUGGGUGACUCACACAAAUUUAAGUGGGUCUACGCGCGAUCAGUGCAUGCAUGCUGUAUACACCCUAUGCAGUUGUCAACUCCCUUGCGGGGUGUGCCACCUGCAGGCGUUGCCCAUCUUUCUGGACAAGCUAGUGGUAAGAGCAAUGUGGUGUAAAGGGGUCGCACGUUCGACUUGGACUGAGUGGAGGUCGGGCUAGGGUUGAGCGGCUUACGGGGCAACACGCACGUGCAUUCUAUGUUUUUACCACUCCACUUUUAUCCUACCUAUGUAUUACAUAUCUUCUACCCAUCUACUAUCAACGUGCCUGCCCCUAAAAGAGCAAUGUCAGAUGCUGGUAUUUCAUGUCGUGUUUGCGUUGCCUGGGUGCACAUGGGGUCCGUGUGGGCCAGCUGUGCAACGGACCAACGCCUGUUGGCUCUGUUUCUCCGUCUGUACAUUCGGCAGGACCCGCUAACGGCGGUGCUUGUGUCGGUGACGGCGGUGCUGUUCUUUGGAGAAAUCAUCCCGCAGGCUCUGUGCUCCAGGUGCGGCCAGGACUUUGUGCAGGCCGCCGCGGGUCCCGCAGGCACACCGGAUCAUUGUGGCAUUGUGGUAACAUGAAGGGAUCACCUAGCCUUGUAGCGCAGUGCCGAUGCUACCAUCAGCCGCCCAGGCUCCCUAGCACUAAACGCGCAUGCCAUUUGACAUGUCGCUGCCGCUGGCCCUGCCUGUACCCCUGCCGCUGCCGCAGGUUCGGCCUGGCCGUGGGUGCCAACCUGGCCUGGCUGGUCCGCGCGCUCAUGUUCCUUACCUACCCGCUUGCGUGGCCCAUCGGCAAGCUGCUGGACCUGCUGCUGGGCAGCGAGCACCACACACUGUUUCGGAGGACGCAGCUCAAGGUACGGUAUCAGGAGGGGGGUCGACGCGCGCCCAGCGGGGGUGUGUGGGGCGUAUGGAAGCGCGCGGGCGGGAGGAGCAGGCGGCGGUUCAGCGCCUGCAGGCGAUGUGUGCAUGUGCUCAGGCGGACAGGGCGGCGGGCGUGUCGAGCAGGCCGCGCUUGGUGCGCUGCGUGGGGGCGCCGGCGCUGCCCCCACUGCUGCUGCUGUUGCCGCGGCCCGGGCUGCUGGUGCUCAAUCUUCCGGUGCAUUGGGGAAGUUCAGGGUGCUGGCGGCUUCGCGAGACGGCGAGGCGGAGGUGAAAGUCCCGCAGUUUGGCCUCGGGCGCGUUGGAGCUGCUGCUUGGGGGUUGCGAUGUAUGGCUUUUGUAUGGGUAUGUGUAAAAUAACUCUGGUUGAGCCUCGCUCGCGAGUCGCUGGUGAAGUGUGUGUUGUUACAGUCGCCGCCCAGCGGUGGGCCCGCCCACCGAUGGGCCCGCCUCCGCACCUCAGUCGACCCGCCCCUCCCCUCCUUCGGGCCAAAGUUUUAUGUUUUACAUUUUACGCAGGCGCUCGUGGACCUGCACGGGACGGACACGGGCCUCGGAGGCAAACUGAGCAGGGACGAGAUCAAUGUCAUCACAGGUGGGCAACGGGGCGUUGGGUGGGAAGUAAAAACUGAAGCGGGGCGUCGUUGUGCUCUCAGCUCGGUUACCCGGAUCGGUCCCGUUUCAGUGGCCUCUGCUGCUCAGGCACCCAGCCAUCGCCGCAAACAACAAAGAAAUGUAGGUAGUGGUGCUCUGCUGACCGGCACGCUCUCACCUCCUCAGGUGCACUGGACCUGACCCACAAGAUCGCGUUCCGUUCCAUGACGCCGCUCGACAAGGUAAGACAUACUUUGCUGUAGCUGCGAGCGCGCCUCCUGCAAUGGCACUGCCUGAGGCAUCUCGGCAACUUCCUGACGACGUACUGACAUGCACCGGGGUCGCUUUUGUCCGGCACCCAGACUGCGAACACACUAGCGCAGCCUGGCUGUGCAGCAGCUGCCAGGGACACCCAGUCCACUACCGGACGCUCCACCACACUGUACGCUGGACGUCCGGCGGCAUGCCUCUGCUCUGCAGGUGUUCAUGUUGUCUCUGGAGGAGACGCUGAACGACGCGGUGGUGGAGGCGGUGCUGGAGAGCGGGCACAGCCGCAUCCCGGUGCAUCGCGGCACCGACCGCCAUGACAUCGUGGGACUGGUGCUUGUGAAGGAACUGCUGAGCGCGGUGCGGCAGCGUGGCCAGGUGAGGGGCGAUUUGGGUCGGGCGGGGGAUGUGGCACGGGCGGGAUGUUUGGAUGCAACUGCCUGGAGGUAUGGUGGCCGGUCAGGUGCCGUUGUGGGCGCCGCUGUUGUCAUUGCCUAGUAAGUGUUGUGUCAUGUCCACUGAUGCGCCGAUCUCCGCGGCACCCUGUGCUUGAUUGCACCUGUAGGACGUGCCUGUUUCAUCCCUCAGAAUGCGGCAGCUUCCCAUGUGAGUAGACAGGACCACAUGUCUGCUACCUGUGUGCCUGCCACCACAGAGGAUUGCUACCCCGUCGUCCCUUGUGCCACCCGGCUCCUUUACCCACCCGCUCCGCCUGCCCCGCCCUGCUCUCGCUGCUGCAGGGUGCCAGCCCACACCGCCAUGUACGACAUGCUCAAGCUGUUUGCCAUUGGCCGCACGCACAUGGUGGUGUUAGUGCAGCCGGAUGAGGAGCAGCUGGAGGAGAUGCUGGACGAAGUGGCGCCGGACAGGUGCGGCUGUGUGUGGGGUGGGGUGGGGUGGGGUGGGGGUGGGGGUGGGGUGUAGGUGAAGGCGGGUAUGGUUUGGGCGGGGCCGGCUGGAGAAUUUCGCCGCAAGGUGGCUGACAAGUGGUUGACGUGGACGGGAAUGGACAUAUGCGGGUUGGGCCCAGCCGCUUUAGUAAUGCGGUUCCCUCCACUGCUCGCUGCAGGAGCUCGAGCAGCAGUAGCAGUAGCAGUAGCAGCAGCAGCAGGAGGACCAGCUUAGAAGAGCGGCAGCGGCUGGUCGGAGACCAUGCCCCGCUCUCAGAUGCGGCGCCGACGGCGGAUGGAGCGCAACGCAACGGGAACGGCAACGGUAGCGUUCACGGCGCCCACUCUUCAAAUCUCUUCCUGGGGGCGCGUCGGAGGUCCGGGGAGGGGCUGGCCGUGGAUGGUCUGGACGCAACAGCAGCGGCGGCUGCAUCGGCCAUGGAGAUGGGCCAGGUAAGAACCAGGCUGCAAAGGAAAGGGAAAGGGAUAAACAUUGCGUUCGCAGGGCUGAUGUCGCAACCUUUGGCUAGCACAGCCUUGCUGUGCCAGGACGCACGCCAUCCUCUGCCAAGCGCAACAGCCGGACACUGAUGAACAUGGCGUUUCUUGUCCCUUGACGCAGUCCGUACCCCUGGGCGGCUCGCGCGAGUCGUCCAUAGGGCACAGGCGCUCCGUCGCGGGCUUCGACGGCAUUGCCUCUCCGCGCAACGGGGGCAGCGCACUGCCCAGUGCAACGCCGCUCGCCGGCGCAACGCCACUCGCCGGGGCGAAUGGCAACGCCACACCGCCGGCCGCGGUGCGGCACGGCACAUUCAGCUUGCACACCGUCAGAUCAUUCGUGCUUGGCGGCCGGGAGCGCGACAAGGACCGGGAUAAGGACACCGGGGGCGACAGCCACGACCAUAGCCACCACAAGGAGGAGAAGGAGAAGGGCAAGGACCGGGAAGGCAGCCACAAGGGAAGUAUGUUCUCGUUGCGGCGCAGCCGCAAAGGCAGCCGCCGCGGCAGCCACGACGGCAACAGCAGCGACAGCAGCAGCGACAGUAGCAGCAGCAGCAGCUCCAGCGGCGACCCGCACUCACACAUGCGCACUGGAAGCGGCAACUUGUCAGACAAUGCGCCGCUCAUUGAGGCGAUUGAGGCGCUGGAGGACCAGCUGGAGGUAGGCUGCGAGGCUGCGCCGCUUUCGGACUGCGGCUAUCCUAGCAGUUUUUGUUGUGUUCGAAUGGCAUAACAACGGAGGGUUGCUUGCCACGAAUAGCAGGAGUAUGCACCCGCUGGUGGCGGCGUCUGACUGUGUGUGCCCUUUGUCGCCUGGUCGCAGGACAACCGUGUGCUGCCCGGACAGCCCAUCGGCAUCAUCACCAUCGAGGACGUGAUCGAGGAGCUGCUGCGUGUGGAAAUCAUGGACGAGACCGACCAGUGAGCCGGCGUCGGUUUACGUCAGUUGCUUUUGGUUUGUUGCUCAAAAGCAUAUGCUUGUUUGCAAUGUUACAUUGCUUGCAUUCUGCGUGUUUGAUUGUCGCCGAUUAUGUCGCGCUCCUGCAGGUACAUGGACAACGAGAAGUCCAAGCCCGCGUUCGACGCCAGGCAGGAGAUGAGCAACGCGCUGCCUGAGCGCCUGCAGGUGGGAGGCAGGCUGUACGGGCGAGCCAGAAUGGCUGGAAUGAUUAUUACGGUACCAUUCUCCGUCUCCGCUCAAUUUCAGUCCUGUGCGCUUUUGCUAGCUCUCCACGAGCCUAUGUUCCCGGAUGUCACCGACCACGUGUUUACAUUACCUUCCCCUGUGGCCCCUCCCUCAGGCGGUGCUUGGGCUGUUCACCGGUCGCGAUGUGUCCAACCAUCUGGGCCGCAUGUCCAGCGCAAGGCGAGACCCGCGUGUGGUCGCUGUUGCAGGCGGGCCCACAGGCGGUGCGGCGCCCGGCACCCCGAGUGCGGGCGUGGCAGGAGCGGCUGUCCUGCCCACCUCCAGUAGCUUCGGUGCGCUGCGUGCUGUGGGCAUCACCACCAGCCCCGCGGUGAACGCGGCUGGUGUGGUGACCGGAGGUGCAACGUCAUCUGCUGCGGCGGCCGCGGGUGUCGCGGGGGCCGGCGCAGCCGCUGGUCCUGGCGCCCAGGGCUUCGCGCCGGCGCCGCCCGGGCCGGCGCCCUUCCUGCGGCCUGCCUUCCUGCAGGCCAUUCUGGGCUCCUCCAACAUUCCAGCCGCAGCUGCAGGCUUUACACCUGUCGCUAGCGCGGGCGGUGGGGUAGGGGCAGGAAGCGGAGCUGCUGCUGGAGGCACUGCGGCCACGGCGGCUGCGGUGUCCGCUGAGGCGCGGUCCCGGCACAGUAGGUCUCGCUCCAGCACACAGCUGGCGCUACUGGGCAAUGCUGCAGCAGCUGCAGGCGCAAGCUCCUCGUCAGCGGCAGUGGGCAGUACGGCUGCUGGAGGUGCAGCAGCUGGGAACACGUGGCUCGGGCAAUGGCUCUUCGGCGGCACGGGGCCAGGGGCGCCGGCGGGGGCGGCUGGCGAGUCGGCCAACAUGAGUCGCCUGGGCUACAGCAGCCUCCUGCAGCAGUCUGGGGCGGGUGGGUCGGGCGGCCAGCAGCAGCAUCUGCCGGGCCUAGCGCGCACAUCUGCACCCCGAGCUGGGGGGCUGUUAGCACCAGGCGGAGGCAGCGGCACGGCGGCUGGUGGCGGCGGGCACGGCGCGUCCCGGCACCUGGUGACGGGGCACCUGGUGGGACACACGAGUCAGCUAGGGGCCAUUGCCGCCAGCCUCCCCCGCCGAGGGAAAGGCAGGCGGUCCCACCUGCACGGGGAGUCGCGCAGCUCAAACCCGGGCAUGGUGGCACUGGAUGUGUUGGAUGGAGACGGCGAGACACACAAGACGGAGCACGGCUCCGGUGCACGGCAGCCGUAUGACCUUGCGCGUACGUCGUCGAUGUGAGCUUCAGCGUGCGAGAGCCUACCUAACGUGUUUUAGUUUGGGAACUGGGCGUGUGCUGUACGGUAUUGCUAUAAUGUGGCGUAAUUAGCAAGAGUGGCAACAAGACAGACUGCAGUUACCCAGGUGAAGUGAAGCAGAAUGAGAGGCCGUUGGCGAGUAGAAGUGAGUGCUGUAGCGCUGUGUACGUUGGGACAGGGUGAGGACAGGUUUGCGUAGUUCGUGCUCCUGAUGCGCGUAGACACCUCAGCAAGGUCUGCUGCCCAUGACGGCCCUGGGGCCGGGCGCCUACUCAGUCCUUUCGCCAGCUACAGCCGAGUGAGUGCCAAUGUAAGUAGUAGAGCUAGAAGCAACAAGAAGCCCGUUGCAUAUGGGUUUCUUUCUCGCAACGGGGUUUGUGUAGCAACUUCUCGCCCUCAACGCUCUCGCCUCGGCCCUCGCACACAUUACACGUGUCGGCAUGUCGCGCUGCUUAGCUGAAGAUGGUGACGAACGCACUUGCAGCAGAGGAGGCUCCUGGACGCGUUUGGAGACGCGUCUGGAGGUAGUUGUAGGGGGCACUGAUCAACCCAAAACUGAACUGAAUGGCCGAGGCGCUAGCGGCUCCGUGCUUGGGUAAACGUGGUGUUGGUCGCACUGUGCGUCACUGUGCCUCACACGCGCCAGUUCAAGGUUCUUUGCUCUAAACCAUGGUGUAACCCGCGUUACCCGCUGCCAAACGCACCGCUGGUCGCACUGUGCGUCAUUGUGCCGUCACUGCGCCUGGGGUCCAGAGCAGGGUGAUCGUUUCAUACGUCACUGCGGUCGUGCGUGCCUGCGUCGACCACAAGUACCUAUACUGGCGCAUGCAGCAGCAGCGGCAGCAGCAGCGCCAGCGGCGCAGGGCCGGGGCCCAGCAGCUGCGGCGUGCAUGCGCGUAGCGGAGGGGGCGAGCAAGGCCACGCAGACGAGGUGAGCGCGGCGGCGCCCAAGAAGCGGCGCCGGCGCGCAGGUUGAGGCCGGCGGCCGGUGUCUGGUUAGCGGUCUUUGCUGGCGAGCAUAGCACCGCACAGUAUGUGGUAGGCCGGAGCAGUGAGUAGUGUUGUGGCUAGAGGAUUUCCUGCUGUUUGGUUUAUUACUGGCUGCGCUUGUGCUUGACAGCGGGACGUGGCUGGAGUGCUGGACGCAUGGCGGGCCGUGCCUAUACGAACCGACCCCGGCUAAUGGGAAUGUCCGGGAGAUGAGGUAGACGCUUGCGGCCUCAGCCGAGAGAUGUGGCGUGGGCGCAGCCCACUUUCCCUUGCGACGGGAAGCCACAUUUCUUGUCCACGUCACUGGCUUGUGACUGCGUCAGCAGGUCUCUCUUAUAACCGAUGCAAUAUGCGGCUCACACACUGCAGUGUCAUCUCUUGAUCUCUGGCAGGGGACCCCCCCCCUAGAAGAAUGUGCUGCGGGCGGAUGGGGGGGAACUUUCCCCGUGAGCAGCGCCACGCCCCACGCGUGUGAUGGACCUUUUAUUCAAGUUACAAAGACAGGGAGACGGUGCUCCUGAUUACAAGGACGCAUGCGCAGGGGGCAGAAACGGGCACCCUUGAACCGGUCCUUGACGCUGGACUCUAGGUUUCUCUUCCCCGGCCGGAACGUCGCAAUUUGCAAACGGCACGGAUGCCUGCUUUUACGAUGACGGCGUUUAAGGAACACCAGCCGGAAGGUCGCCUUAACGCCUUGAGGCUAGAAGGGAAGGGAAGGGACCCCCUACCCCUGCCCUACCGCGCAUGUCCUGCGCGUGAGGGACCCCUGAUCUCCACCGUGCAGAGGCAGUGAACGGUGCGUGUCGUGUGUGGUAGGCUCCUCCUUAUACAGAACUGAGUUCCUUAUCAGCUUCAGCACUUGAUGUGUGACUGCAUGCAGAUGAAUGCAUAUAUAACGCAGCAAACCCUCCGGGGGUACGGACAGAAAGGGCCGUGCCAGGCCCCCGUGCCAGCACCAUGGUGCAGAUGGUGCAAGCGAUGCCACUGUACACCGUAUUUGUUAUGACAGUGAACGCGGCUGCGUACAUUUCUUACUCUGAGUCUGAGUCCGAGAACUAACAAUUUUUGCUAGUCAGCAGCUUGCGGGCCAACAUUUCAGGCAUUCUUACUAUCGCGCAAUAAUCGAGUUAUCACAAGAAGAGGCAGUAGCACUUGGUAGUGGAUUUGCGCUGCGGAAAGCAGUUCCCAGACAUUCUUGUUCUAGUCAUUCGUGGCCUGCAACUACUUAGACGUCCUAGCUUAAUUCACAUUUUACUGUGUUGACUGCACUUGUGGGAGCUCGUUCGGGCGCCCGAUGUUGCGGAGGUAUGUUUUGAGGAUAUCAUGACCGUGAACCUUUCGGCACGUCCUAAGCACAUACAAUAAUGCGUUGCAGGACUGCACCUGCGGCGCGGCCAUAGCGGCAGACGCUCUGGCGGCGUCUGCGCCAGCGGCCCCACCCCUGCUUCCUCACGCGCCGACCCCCAGACGCGACGCCGGCGAUUUCUGGCGCACCGAAGCCAUUGGCGUUGGCGAUGGCGUUUUGGAUGGGGGUGGGGCAGCUGCUGACUUCCCGCAGCAAAGGCGGGGUUGGGGGAGGAGUGCAGAAGCUGCUGGCUCGUCCGGCGUUCCCGCCUUACAUCCAGGCGAACCACAGCCGCCGCUGCCGUGCACAGAGGUCGAGGCGUCAGGGCCACUGUUGGGGCUGGGGGUUUUAGGGCAGCGCCACGAUGGACACCUGCUGAUAUUCGGUGACGAAGUGGAUGAUGCGUUCGCAAUUGGGCCUGACGAGGGCGGUUUUAGAGUUCUGGUCAGCGGCGACAUGUGCUACGGACACGGUGGCUCCAUGUCAGCUGCCGGGACGGCGAAGGGCGGCAUUGGCGAGCCGGGCACCUGUGAGGCCGGGCGGGCCUGGUCGCUUUGCGGCGACUGCGGCGGCGUCCGCAUGCAGUCGGGCUGCGGCUGUGGGUGCGGCUGCAGCGGCUGCAGCUGCAACCGGCGGCACCGGGAGCGGCGGAACGGGAUGCUGUCGCUGCGGCAGCGCAGGAAGGGCGUGCUGAGCUUACGGCUUCGCCGCAACGGCAUGAUGGAGACAGAGAGCGGUGCCAGUCCCGCCGCAGGCACAGGCGCGGGCGCCGGAGGCAGCGGCGGGCUGGGGGCAUCAGGCGUGGUGACGGUCCGCACCUGGGGCGGAGACGGCUGCCCGGCGACAGCGGCCUCAGCGCCCACCUCGCCAGCGGGCGGUGACGGCUCCCUACAUCCAGGCAACCCGCUGGGGGCCGGCUAUCCGGGUGCUGGCAGCCAGCUUCGGCCUGCUACCGCCACCUCUAUUGCCACGCCGCCUGCAGCUGCCUCGGCCCGGUGCUGUUGCUCUUGCGGUGGCUGCUGCUGCGCCUCUGGCGCCGGCACGCCGGAGCCAGCUUACAGCCUUGGAGCGCCUGCAUCCGCAGGCGACCGGCGUCUGCCCUCGCUGACGCCGCCGCACACGCACAUGCGCGCAACGAGCGCCGGGAUACGUGGCAUGGCAGAUGAGGUGUCGGCAAGGUUCCGAGUGAUGAACAGAUCAACCAGCUGCACGCCUAGGCACGCACAUUCCUACCGGCCCUGCACCUGCCGGCGGUGGGAGGCGCAACCGGGCGCGCCGCAGGCUGGGGCCAGCGGAGACGCGGAGCAAGGGGCGACGCGCGCAGCUGCAAUGCCACCUGUGGUGGCUGUUGGUGGUCAUUCUGAGGCAGGGUGGCUGCCAGCGACCCCCUUAGCUGGCACGGCUGCAGAAGGCGGCGUGGUUGCGGGUGGCUGCAGUGGCAGCAGCAUUGGAGCCGUGGGGACAGCAGCGCGCCCGGCAGUCGCCGAGGCGGCUUACAACAGUGAUGAGGAGUCAUCGGGUCUGGGCAGCGUCCCCAGCCUCCGGUUAGGGGUGGGGCCGGGACCCCAGGCCAUGCAGGCGACGGCGGAUAUCCAUGGGGUAUCUGGCACGGCACAUGCGGUAGCGGGCAGCAGCGGGCUGGGCCUAACCGCGGCCUCCGUGCUCAGACCGCCCUCGUCACCACAGCUGCAAUACCAGCCCGUGCGGCCGCAGCAGCCGCAGCCGCAGCACCAGCACCAGUCACCCGCGUACCGCCGCAUCAGCAGCGGUCUGUUGCCCGCUGGCCACGCGGGUCCUGACGGGGCUCGAUCCGCAGUGGCAGCGUCCGUGGUAGCCAGGGAAUCAGGGGCGGCCUCUGCCGCCCCUGCGGCAGCAACGGGGACACGCUUCAGCGCGGAGGCGGGCUCACCUGCGGCGGCGCUGCUUGUGCCGCCGCUAACAUCGCGGCGCCAAUAUGGCGGCCUCGAUAGCGGCUCCGGCGGCUGCGGCGACAGCGAAGAGCUGGCUAGCUCUGGCUCUAGGCCUGCGUCCGCCGCCGUGCGCAGCUACGAGGGACUUUCGUUGCAGCCACUGCGGCCCCAGUCGCCGCAGCCGCCGCAGCCCCAGCAGUGGGGCCCUGGCGCUGAGGGUGGUGUGCUUGAGCGCCCGGUGCCCCGCAGGGCAACGAGCCUCAAGGCGCUCUUGAAUGGGGCACCGGACCUGCGCCCUGGAUCUGUGCCGCCUGCAGAAGAAGCCAGACUGCAGGCUCCCGGCCAGCAUGCCUCGACGUCACAGCAGCACGCCAACUACGCUGGCUCACAGCCGCAGCCGCAGCAAAUGCACCGGACACUCCAGCCACAGGGACACAGCUACGGUGGCAGCGCCUUCUCCCUCUCACGUGAGUUAGUUCCAGCCAGCUCCACAGCUGCGGCAGCUGGCCGGGGGCACGGGGGGCGGCAGGGGCCCGCCGGCUCACCCGCUGGCCGGCAACCAAGUGCCAGCAACAGCAGCAGCACUAUCACAGUCCUGAGCACCCAGCCGCAGAUGCAACGCAGUGCUAGCUCGCUCGCGGCGUUGGGACCGGGCAGCGGGCGGCAGCAGUCCCUGCCGAACCCCGAGCCGCUGAGCUCACCUCCGGGCCACCAACAUCCGCGGCCGCCGCAGCGGAUCAGCGGCGGAACUGCCCAGGACGGCGUGCUUCUGCUGCCGCCUCUGGGCACCGCGGCCGCACAGCACCAUGCAGCGGCGGCGGGGUGCAAUACAGGUGACUCAGCCGGCGGUAAUUCCGCAGUGGUGUUGGCGGUGCGCGGUGCAUGGGCGGUGGCACAGCAGCCGUUGUCGGGGCCGGCGGCUGCCGUUGGCAGUGGGCGCACCCGGCGUGCCUCGACGCUUUCGCUUGCGACGCCUGUGCUGUCAGAUGUUGAGGAUGGCAGUGAGGAGGGGGAGAUGGGUGCCGGGGAAGGCGCCGCCAGUCCGGCGACGCGGCUAUUACAGCAGGCAGCGCAGGCAUGGAGUCGGGCCCGGCAAGGCGCGGAGGGCGCAGCGCCCGCUGCGGGCACGGGCCAGGCAGUUAGCAGCAGCGGAGGUGGGAGCGGGGUCAGCGGCGGGGGACGCCUUUCUUGGACGCACACGAGCGGUGAGGCUCAGGGCAAAUUCAGCAGGGUGCCAGGCACGCUCGCAUAUGUUGAUGGUGGGGCAGCAGCGUCGGUGGCAACAGGCCUUGAUCGCGAGGCCUCGGCUGAGGAGCUGUCUUGGACCAGCGGCCGGCCGCGUUCGGGGCUCAGCCCCGCACACAGUGGUACUGGCAGCGGUGGUACCGGCCACACCCUGCUGGCGAGGCGCCCCCAGCUGCUUGCAGCAAUUCCAGCCAGUGGCACGAACAGCAGCGCAGUCGCCAGCCCCGGCGGCGGCACGCCUCCAGGCAUCGCGGCUGGGGCCGGCGCUCGCCUCGUGUCACCACACGGCUCCACGACCACGUCGCCUUCCGGGGCGGCGGCGGCAUCGUACACGACCCAGCCGCUCACACUCCCUCGCAUCGGCGGACUGCCUGCAUCAGCCGCUGCCAACGCGGGGGCAGGCAUUGGGCCGGGACCGGGCGCGGGAGGCCGAUGAGACUGCGGGUAGUGUCCGCGUGCUUGGCGCGGGACUGGCACACGCGCUGGAAUGAUGGUGCUGUGUGUUGAGGCUCGCCAGGGCAACCUGACGAGACCUGUAUAUUGAGUUAUGACUGGAGGGCGCUGCACAGGAAACGUAAAUUGCUGCAACCGGGAUCCCGGGCAGAGGCAUAACAAAGAAUGAACACGCAGGUUUGGACGUGGAGGGGGGCUCGGUCUAAGGAAUGUGCAUGUAUAUAUUCAACCUUUAUAUAUCGAUUUGGGGUGGUGGUUCGUAUGGUCAACCCAGGUCGUGGUUGUGCCUAGCUGUGCUGACUGAGCAAGCCAGGCCGUGCGAUGGGACUGUGUUAAGGCAGGGCAAGUGACCGGGUGGGGUUGUGAACCGAGUCGGCGCCUUCGGCUCGAAACCACACCGGGAGACUAUGGUGACCUCUCCUCAUUUACAUACGUUGUUGUACUGGCUUUAACUGUGUAGCCACGUUGGCAUAAAAGCCAUGGCCUGCUCAACGCAUUGUGCUUGAAUGCAUGGUGCUUUGUGUAACGGUUUGAGCUGUGCUGACGGCGCAGGAAUUAUAGAUUUAUAGUUUGCCAUGUGAUGCGAAGGUCAGGGCGUGACGAAACCCCGGGUACCCGGGAUCGACAACCGACAGGGGGCCCAUAACUAUUCAAGUACAACCCCGAUUAAAAGUGGGACAGCAGAUGUUGAUUAACAGUGCCCGUAUUUUGUAGAUGCCCUUUAGGCCCGCAGCGUCUACGCCCGGAAAUGAGAUUUCCCUAGGGUGCAAAACCCCCACGCCCCCCAGAACGUCUAAGAUGCCGCCACAUCCGCGCCAAACGUCUAUUCUUCGCGAAAGCGCGGCCCCAAACCCAACACAUAUUCUACAGCAUUAAUUCUGGACGCUCUCUCCUUUCGAAUCGUGGGUUCUAUCCCAGGCGAAACUAACCCCGCCUGAGCGAUGUAAGCAACGUCCAGCUCAGUACGACAACCGUCACAUGACCCCAGAGUCGCCAGGCGUAAACUCAACACAUGUGGACGCGGCCAGCACCGCCCCGACAGUGGAGGCGCGCACGCCUUGCCGCAGUAGGGUUUCGUGGGUCGGUCUGGAGGCUACUACGAAUUUCAGUGAAUAAUACGGUAGUCAGAAGGCGGGCCCAAGCGUAAACGGGUCCCUGUCAAGAGCCUCACAGGUUGGCAGCAUGCCGUGCAGGUAAGAAGCGCAUGCCGCACCGCGUACGGUGCAUGAUCAAUACGACACAGUAUGAAUGUGUCAUCAGUACGCAUCACCGAAGAUAAAUUGUACCGUAACUGAAUCCAAUUGUCUGCCUCCUGGUCCAGUCUCAGAUCUGCAGGACUAUUAGCGUGUGCAGUAUAACCCAACCUCGAAUUGGAGUGCAAAAGUAUGUAUGGCCAGUGCUGAUAGAUGUCCUCAACAGCGCGGUCCCUACUUCGCUCCCUCCACAUCUCUGCGCCUGCCGCAGUUGAUGAUCUGAUGUCAAGUUGUACACCCACCUCCACGCCGUAAAUAAAUGCGCCACCGCUGAACGCCCGCGCCAGCAACGCCGGCUGCUGGCCGCCGCGUACGCCUAGGCGGCACCGGUAGAACCUCAGCCCGCGGGAUGACUCGCGCAACACCCGUCCGAUGCCCCCCGCAGCACGGUAGUCACCGAGUCACGUGUUCGUUCCAUGCCGUUUCUGCAACCAUGUACGCUCCAGCCGAGGAUUGAUGGCGAAGCCACCACGUGCAGCGCGCCAGCAUGCCAGCGUGCUACCUACCCUGCGCCGCUACGCGCCACCGCGCCGCCGCGCGCCAGCUCGCCUAACAGGGCAGCCGGCCUGCGCCAUCUAUGUCUACGCACUUAACUACCCCUCGGAGUGGAGGGGUCGAUGAGCAGCGGCGCGGUGGAGCCGCUGCCAGCACUGCGUGUCGGCUCCGGAGCCACGCGCGACAGAGAGCCCAGUCGCGGCGAGGCCGGGCGGCCGGCGGAGCCGAUACGCGCCGUGAUGUGGAAUGGCUGCGGCUGCUGCUGCGGGUUGCCGGAUAUGGUGGGGUUACCGGAGAAGGUCUUGACGGCGGUGGCGGGGUUGCCCGACAGCGUCUUGGGGCCAGACAUGGUGCGGCCCGAGAGCGUCUUGCCGUCGGGGGCGGCGCCGCUGAGGGUGCGGCCGGCGGCAGCGCGCAUGGGGGCGGCGCCACGGGCGGUGAUGUUCUUGGCGCGGCUGCCGCGAAGCGCACUGAGCCAGUUGGAAGAGGUGUCCACGGGGCGGACCAGCCGCGCCACGAAGCGGACAAGCCAGCUGAAGGGAAUGGCACCGACGCCGAUGGCAAUGGUCACGCCCCACUCCUCGCCGUUCAGGGCGUUCACCUGCGCGCAGCAAGUGGGGAAUGCGAUGGGGUGCAGCGCGUAGGUCAGCUUAUCCGCUUGCACGCAGUUAGGUACGGCCAAGUGCUGCGUCCGCAACAGCACACAGCGUGCUGUAGAAGAAACCCAAAACGCGUACUGUCGGCGGUCCUGCCUGAUGCACACUACCCACGCACGAGUGCUUGACGCUGCCGCUCGCUCCUGCCCUGCCCCUGCCCUCAUCGUCACGCCGGCACUCUCCACGACGCACCUUGAAAAUGUAGUUGAUGGGCGUCUGCAUGAUGAUGGCCUGCAGCGCCGUGAUGAGCACCAUGAUGGCGUUGAAGAUGUGGCUGUUGGCCAGGCCCUUGAAGAAGUUGUACUCCAGUUGGAUGCGCCGAGACACGAAGGCGUUGGCGACCUGUGGUUAGUUACGAGAACGACGACAUAGAUGGGGCAUCGGCGUAAUCAGGGGGUGCCGCAAGGACAGGACAUGGGCGCACGCGGGCACAAGGUCGGCGCCGCCCGCGACUUCCCCCGCGCCAUUGCCAUUUGAUUCUGCGAUACGGUACACAGCAGCUCCUUUUGCCGGUGGCUGGCUGCUCGCCACACCCCCCGCUCUAUGCCCACGCGCACCCACCUGCGCCAGGAUGAAGGCAUUAAACAGCACGCUGAGUGCAGGCUUGUAGGACUUGAGGUACUCGCGGUCCCACUCCUUGUCCAUGUCCUUCUGCGCCGAGGUCAGGCCCUCGUUCCUGUGUAUGUAUGUGUGUGUGCAUGUGUGUGUGUGUGUGUGUGUGUGUGUGUGUGUGUGUGUGUGUGUGUGUGUGUGUGUGUGUGUGUGUGCGCGCGUGGCGAUAUGUGCCGAUAAAGGCGAUGAUGAAGUCCAGGGGAGUGGCGCAUAAUGUGCCGUAGGGGCAGACGACGACCAAGCCACGGGCGUGUCGACCCCGUCAGCCUUCCUUGUGCUUGACCACGGCACCCACACACGGUCGAUACACACGCGCGCGCAGGUGCACACACCUGGGGCAAUUGGUGCCCUGCGGGAAGCCCAGCGGGAUGCACACGGCGUUCUGCUGGUUGGGCGGCACCGCGGAGCCGUUGUAGCGCAGCCACUCGCCCACCAGCUCGCAGGACAGGUGCUGUGUGUCGCCGCGGGGGAAUCCGCAGUAGCCCAUAAUGUUGCAGUAGUCAGCCUGGGCGGUGGCGUUGAAGCCCUGCGCGAAGAGAAGCAAAGCCCGGCGGCGGUGAGGAGAAGCGUUGCCAAGGAGUUUACAUGCGCUAUGCCGUUAUAAGUGAUUUUAUGCUAUGUGGCUUAUCCAGCGCACAAGGGCUGAAGACUGAGCACAUCUUGUUUAGACGGUUGCCGCACCCUUUGCCUACUCAUAAUGUCUGCAUACCUUGUCUCCCAGGAUGCGGUUGCAGUCCUCGCGGUAAUACUCGUCGGGCGUCAGCACACUGCGAGGGUUAAGUUUGAACGAAACGUUACGGCGGGCGUACGCACCGGGGGCCUCAUCCAGCAAACCAGGGUAGUACACGUCAAGAAACAACAGUAGCGCGGCAGUGAGCGAGUGACCCCACGAGGAGCGGAAACACCACUCACGCGUACGCAGAGAUGGCGCGUGGAAGGCCGUACAGGCACGCGAAGAGCCAAAUGAGCUUGCUGCAGGCAGCAGGCAUUGCGAUUGCGUGCGGGGGAGGUUCACAUCGAAACGAAGUGAAAUGCACAAUGCAUGGCGAAACUCCACAUCAGCGGUGUCUACUGCUUGCAAAGGCAAUCGUGCUGCUUGUUCCAGCAGUAGCAUUAACUCACUAGGUGGCGCCAGCCAGAAUGUGCAUGUACUGCAGCGGCAGGAGAGGGCAGACGACAGAAGUGUGGUUGGAGAGCGGUGGUAGGUGCGUGGAUGGCGAUAAGGGUAAUCGAUGUCGCCUUUCCCUUCCUUUGUGCUCUCCAACAAAGACACACGUCAGCACACACACACACACACACACACACACACACACACACGCACCAUGUAUCCGGUGAUGAUGGGCUCGGAGCGGCCGUGUGGCAUCUCGUCCAGCAGCUCGGGGUAGGGGUUCUCCGUGGCCAGAGCCAGAGCCUGGAGGGGAUUGCGGCGUGGGCUUGCGGGGGUUGCGGGGGUGCGUGUGCUUAAGACCAACCUCACCCACAGCCCCGCGAGCUGCUCCAAGACCUCUGCAGACUGCACUGCGCUCGUGGCAUGUACGACACCGCCCGGGCCAUACCCCAGCAAGCCAACGCCCUCACACGCCCCCAUGCCCUCACCGCCAGCGUGUCCAUGAUCAUGUUCACCCAGAGCAACUGCAGCACGUUGAGGGGCGGCACGCCGCCGUACAGCGCGCCCACGGCGGCGCUGAUCAUGGCCACCAGGUUGACGGACAGCUGGAACACCAGGAACUUGCGGAUGUUCUGUUGGGGGGGGAGAUCGAGGUGUGGGGCGCGAGAUUUGAUUUCAGGGAGGAGCACGGAAAGGGCGGGCGGGGCGACUUACUGGUACUGGGCCCGCCCGCUACGACGCACGACCUACCCUUGCAUGCAUGGCUGCGCCCCGUGCGCCCUAUCCCUCAGUAGCACACACGUACGCACCAUGUACACGGUGCGGCCCCACAGCACUGACUUGACGAUGGAGCUGAAGUUGUCGUCUGCGGGGGAGGAAAGUGCGAGGCGCGUGAGGCGGUGGGGCCAUCGUUGUCAGGGGCCGGCGGGUGCCGUGCAUGUGACCCAGCACGUGCACCUCACCACCCCCUGGUCCACCGCGCCCCGCCCCGCAUCACCAGACGCACCCAGGAUGAUGAUGUCGGCCGCCUCCUUGGCCACCUCGGUGCCGGCGAUGCCCAUGGCCAGGCCCACAUCGCUCUCCUUGAGCGCGGGCGCGUCGUUGGUGCCGUCACCCGUCACAGCCACAACCUGUUGGCCGGGGUGAGGAGAAUGGGUUAGCCGUCCAUGAAAGACGGGAAGGGGGCGUAAGGGCAGGGGUUCGGCGAUAAGUUUGCAAGCUACGGUAAUACCGCAGCUUGCAAACUUCGGUAUUACCGAGCUGUCCCGAUGAGUCAUGAAAGUGGUCCCAUCGCGGCUCCAGGCGAGUUGCGGCCACCGCCACAGCCACACUCUCAAAGCCACCCCCGCAGGACACACGCGCCGCCUUGCGCCCCUGCACCCCCUGCAGCCGCUGGGCCCACACACCCUGCACCCCACCCCGCACGCGCGCACGCACCUCGCCCUGCUUCUUCAGCAGCGCCACGAGCGUGAGCUUGUCCUCGGGCGAGGAGCGCGCCAGCACGCGCAGCCGCGGCAGCAGCGGGAUCAGCUCGGUUGCGGGCAUAGCGCGGAAAACCGGUCCCUCCAGCGCGAUGCAGUCCUCCACCAGGAUGCCGCACUCGCGACUGAUGUGCUGCGCCGUGUGGAUGUUGUCGCCAGUGACCUGAGGACGGCGCGUGGGCCAGGGGAGGGACGGGGGGUUGAGUGAGGGUGUGCUGGGAUGCAGUGUGAAGUGGAGAAAAGGUGAAUGUGCAGCUGUGGUGGGCUACGGUUGAGGUAGGGGCCAGCAGGAGCACACGUGUGUGUGUGUUCGCGCGUGUGCGUAUGUGUGUGUGGUCAUCAUUUUUGCAUCCAGCCAGCCCGCUGCGAUGCUCACCAUGCGCACAGUGAUUCCGGCCUUCUGGCAGGUGCGCACGGCGUCCGGCACCUCCUUGCGCACCGGGUCCUUGAUGCCCACAAUGGCCAGGCAGGUCAGCCCGUUAUCCACCUGCGGCCGGCGGGUGGAAGGAGGGCGGCAGGUAGGGUAAGGAGCAUAGCGCGUGUGUGUAUGUAUAUGUGUAUGUGUGUGUGCUUGUACCGUGUGUGUUUGUGUCGUGCACGGGGAGGCGUCUGCUGGGCCGGCAGGGCGUGUAGGAUGAGCAAUCAAGCCGCCGUUGUCUGUGGUCAUGCAGUUGCCUUUCUGUCCCGCCGGCUUUCACGCGCGUGCCAACGCAUCCCUCCCCAUGCCCACACCCACAUGUGCGUCCACACCUAUCCACACACGCCGCCUCGCACACGCACCUGGUCUGCGUCCUCGAAGAAGUCGGCGGGGCGGGCGGGAUCGGAGCCGGCGUAAUCACGGUAGCUCAGGCAGAUGCAGCGCAGACCCUGCGUGCGCCAGAAAAGAAGACACCAGCAGGGGAAAUGAGGUGGACGCGUGCAUGCGUGUAUGCGGUGUAUGCGGUGUAUGUGUGUGUGUGUGCCGAGUGCCAGAGUGCGCAUCAACAACGUCAGGGGACUGCCUGUCAUGAUCCCCCACUUCACAGCUUCACACGCACAGACGUACACACGCACGUCUUCUUUUUUUAACACACACGCACCCGCUUGGCCAUGCUGGUGACCAGCUCAAUCAUCUCAGCCAGGCGGGCCUCGGUCAUGGGCUCCGUGCUGCCGUCCGGCCGCAUGAGCGAGCUGCAGCGCCGCAGCACCCACUCCGCCGCGCCCUUGUUGUACAGCCGCAGGUUGCCGCUGCUCGGCUCGCGCAGCAGCACACUGGCCAUCUUGCGCGCCGAGCUGAAGCCGUACAGCUGCGGGGCGGGUACACGCAGCGGUACAGAGAAUGAGGGAGCAAGCGAGGGAACGGAGGUUGUAUGCGAACAUUUCCGUACUCAUCCGCUCAGACCCACCCCACCCCACCCAGCCCAGUCCAGCCCGGUCCAGCCCAGCACAGCCGCUCUAGCCGUGUGCACGCGUCUGCCUCGUCACCCUCGCCCUCCUGGCGGUACAGCUUGCAGCCCUCUGCCUCACGUCCCCACCUUGACUUGGUCUGCCUCGCGCUGCUCCCUCAGCUGCACAUAGUCGUGCCCGAGUUUGCGUAGCAGGACCAGCAGCGCGCACUCCGUCCUGUUGCCCACGAACUCCACAACAUUGUCCUGAGAGGGCAUGAGAAGCGUAUGGCCGCAUGGGGUCAUUGCAGUGACAGCGACACAGGGCACGGGCCGGGCAGUCUAACUAGCAGCCCACGCUGCAUAACCACGUCAUCACAUUUGCCAUCGGUCCCCUACCCCUGUCCUGCAACUAGAGCCAUCCACGCGCUCACACGUACGGUGCGGUGUACAUACACAUACACGCAUUGUUCCUUCCUUGUGCCCCCCCUCACGUACACACACGCGCGCCGUAAGUACCUUGUCCACCAGGAAGGCCUUGUUGUUCAUGGCGCAGUUCCACUUGAGCAGCUCCAGCAGCUGAGGGUGCAGCGCGGAGGCCUCGGGCACCUGCGGGUAGGCGGUGCCGGCGAACCAGCCCUCCACCACCGUCAUGCGGUUCUCCGUCAGCGUGCCGGUCUUGUCGGAGCAGAUGGCGGUGGCGCCACCCAUGGUCUCGCAGGCGGACAGCACGCGCACGAAGUUGUUGUCUGCGGGGGAGGAAAGGAGGGCCCGAGUUGCGAGGCGCGUGAGGCGGUGGGGCCAUCAUCGUCAGGGGCCGGCGGGUGCCGUGCAUGUGACCCAGCGCGUGCCCCUCACCCCCUUUGGCCAACCGCGCCCCACCCCGCAACACCAGACGCACCCUUCAUCAUCUUCUUCAUGCUGUAGGCCAGCGUGAGCGUCACGGCCAGUGGCAGGCCCUCGGGAAUGGACACCACAGUGAUGGUGAUGGCGUACAGCAGGAACUGUGGAGGCACGCCGGGUGAAGCAGGAACACGUGUUCAUGCCUCAGUUGUGUGCUGACAACGGGGUACCAUAGAGCAUGUAGGCGUGGAGCCCGGCGUAGCACCCGUGCUCCUACCACGCACCGAACGUGCUGAGUAGCGCCUGUAUUUUAUCCCAGCCCGCCCAUUGGCGUAUCCCCAAUCCUGCAUUCAUGGUCCUCCACGGCCCGCAUCUUCGCACCCCACACGCUCAGCCUCACACGCCCACACGCACUGCACGCACCUGCAGCGGGCCGUUGUCGUUGAUCUUGCUGGCGUCGCCGCCGCCGGUCACGAUGAGCCACUUGAUGAGCAGAGCAAGGAAGCACACCACCGCCACCAGCACACCCCUGCAGGAAAAAGCAGCAGGUGCGCAGCACACGGAUGUCAAACGUGGCGGUUUUGGGGCCUGCUCUGGUCGCGAGAGGCAUGUGCAGGCCUAUGGCCCAAACAUGACCCACUGGCCGUGCCCACUGGCCCAUCAGACAUCAAGCGCCCGUUACAAGAAGUAUCAACUCAAGACCGCAGCGUUACAAUCCGCUGCUGCCCCGCCGCCAGACGGCCUGCCCCAGCAGUCCCUGAUCCCGAGCAUUGACAGCACCAGCAGCCGGCCCCACAAGCACACACGCGCACUCACAUCUUGGACACCUUGGCGGCCACGUCCGUGAGCUGCUCCUGCAGCGGCGUCUCGUCGUCUCCCGCCUCGCUGACCAGAGCCAUGGUCUUGCCCCACUGCAGAGGGGUAGGCGCGUGCAUGCAAUGGCGGUGGCCGCUCAGAACUGACGCAUGGGUAGGGGAGAAGACGUGCCAGCGUCCGCCAGCAGGCGCUCUAGUGGCUGCCGGAGCCCCCAGGCAGUGCACUGUGCUGCCUUAUUAUCCCAUUGGGUCGUCCAAGCGCCCAGCACAAGUGAAAGGCGCGGCUGGCCGAUUGAGCAGGAAACAAGCUAGCCCCCUUCCCCUUACCUCGCUGUUGACGCCAACAGCUACCACGAGCAUGUGGCCGCUGCCCUCGUUGACCGUCGUGCCGGAGCGAAUCCACUGCGGCCAAAACAGCAGGCAGGGGUAGCGAACAGUUGGAGGGCCAACACGCGCUAUGGCUCAUGAGAGGUUUGGCUCGGUGAAGACCCGGUUGCGAGAGCCCGCGGCGCGGGGGUAGCCGCCCGCGGGUGUCGGGGCAGGAAUGUCUAAUGGCGCGGAGAAAGUGCGAGUACAACGCUUGGGAGAGCUACCUCUGCCGCCAGUACUUACCGGGUCCGAAACCGCAUCCUUCUUGAUAGGGUCUGACUCGCCUGCACAUAGAAUGGUUGCAAACAAUUUCCGCAAGUUUGACAACAGGCCACUCGCUCCCACGUGACGGUGGUCGCGUGCUAACUUGGCUAAGGCCAUCACCGCCUGGCCCGCCCUGUCUUAGACCCGGAUGGAAGCACCCCGCCCAUCGCAAUCCCAGUUCCUAUGCCCUCCUAGCCCAGCUAUGCCCUGUAGCCUUGCCUGUAACGUCCACAUGAGCACUACUGAGCACUGCGCGCUGCGGCCGCACCUGUGAGCGACGCCUCAUCCAGCACAAUGCCCUGGCUGUCUAUCACGACGCCGUCCGCGAUGACCUUGUCGCCGGUGUCCAGGAACAUGACGUCACCCACCACGAUCUCCGUGUUGGGCACCAGGACCUGUAGAUGAUCGUGCGCUUCGGUGUCGGUUGCUGGCUGGGCGCAACGCGCGUGCAGUCAGACAUCACACGGGGCGGGGCGCCAGCGCGGCUGCGCCGCCUCUUGCCCUCACAGCAAGCUCCCUAGCUCCGCGUUAAUAAUCGCUUGCAAGUGGCCCCACCAUACCGACUUCAUCCGCGAUACCUGCUGCGCGCCCAAGCCCUGCCCUCGCUGCUCGGCAUUGCAAUCUGCUUACAAGCGACCCGGUAAUGGUGACCUCUCCCGAGGCGCCGGCUGCGCGCCCAGGCCCUGCUCUCGUUGCUCUGCCUGCUCGCCGCAGUCAAAGCGCUUUCCCACACACACCUGCUUGCCGCCGCGUGUGACCUUGACCUCGAUGUUGUCCUUGAGCGCGUUCAGCUUCUGGAACUGCCGCUCCUUGGAGUAGUCCUGGCCAGCGCCGAUGAAGACCACAAUGAGCGCCGUGCCCAGCACCGCCAGGCCUUCAGACCAGCCCUGGUGCGCGCGCUGCUCGGGCACGGCCGCGCCCAGCACGAUCGUGAUCUGCAUGCAGUGGCGCCAGGCAUGGUCACAUGCGUGUGCGUGUUUCAAAACGGGAACAUAUCAAGUGCGUGCGCGCGCGCGCACGCGCGCGCGCGCGCGUGUGUGUGUGUGUGUGUGUGUGUGUGUGUGUGCGUGCGUGUGUGUGUGUGUGUGUGUACGCCGCGGUUGGGAACGUCAUUUGCUUGGCCUGAGCCACCCGUGCCGCCAACUGGCGUCGCCCUGGCAUGGCCCCUGUCGAGCCCGCAUAGCACUACGGCAGUGCGGCAGUGCGCGCACAACUCACAAUGGCCACAAUCAGCAGGAUAACGAUCAUGGGGUCCUUGGCGGCCUCCAACAACAUGGACAGGAACGAGGGUGGCGGCUUCUCUGUGGGGGCAGGAGUUGUGGGCGCGAGGGGCCCGGCAGCUGUUGAGCGGCGGGACAGCGGCGUCAUGCUUCCCAGCCCCGGAAGACCCAAGACCCAGAAUCCAAAGCGAGCCGGCCCAGCCAGCCGACCGGGGGUGACGAAGGCUACACCGGCUAUCAAUGACGUUCGGUACGUUGGAAAUAGCAUACCGUUUGUCCCAGCUCUUCCACAUACCUGGAAAGCUGUUGACGCCGAAGGCUGUCGGGAUGGAUGCGCGCAGGCGAUUCGGCAUUCACACGGUAGUGAACAAAGGGCCAAGCGUGUCCGUAAGAAGGAAGGUUGGGACAAUGCAGCACGUACCCGACACACAUGCUCAUCAAGUGCGUGCCAGGAUUCGCCCCGGCCACCACAAACGUAUCAAGGCAUUGCCACAUUGAACACAUCCCCCACGGACCCUGCUUUGAAGAGUCCACGCCGGCAUCACUGAGCCCCUCCUUCAGGUCGGUUCCUAAGGCUUGCGCGAUGCCGGCCGCGCCACCCAGCCUCUUAAAUGCCUCUUGGUCCUUCUCCUGUGUCAAGGACCGGACAACGUGACACCAAAAACAUUCAUGGCACCCGACCAACUUCGUGUCACGCGGCGUGGCAUGCCGAGAGCUGCUGGCAGGAAGCCCGGAAGGCGAGCAGACGCACCCAAGAGUCGCCGUCAAGGCAUGCCGUCAACAUAAACAGGUACAUCAAUGCCCCACAGAAACCCCGGUCCCGAAGUUCGCAACGCUCACUAAUGUCUGGCAUGUCGGCAUGUGCGACAAGCGUGUGGCCCGUGACGGACCGCGCCAGGCACGGCCAAACAAGUCUCAAACUAUCAAGCAUGUUCACAAUGCGCCCGGUAAACGUGACAGCGCACGUAAGCGCCAAGACCUCCAACCGUGUGUGCCCGACUCGCGACCUUGCGCGCACGGCCCUCGAAGGCGCACCGUCACCUACCGCGUUUAUUUGGUUGAGCUGCUCCAGAGCAAUGGUGUAGGCGUGAAACUCAUUCGGCGACGAGCCAGUCUCCAAAUCCUCGACCAGGUGCUCCUUCUCCAUCUUUACUCCCUCUCCUGACAUGCUGUCUUCAGUUGUGUUGCUUAGAAACUUGGAGCCAAGAUGGGCCACUAAGAGCGCUGGGCCGUGAGCGGGCCAGUAAAAACGUCCGCUGACGCGGGGGCCCCUUCCACGUGUCAGGCUGAAAUCAUCACAAAAUGCAAUGAGUUACUAGAAGCUUGAAGAGGGUUCGUCUUACGGCGAAGCGCUGAGUGUGGGGACCGUGCCGCAGUGACCUAUGCGCGGCUCCUGUGGACGCUUUCAGUAUUCUUUGAGAUAGCUUCAAAGCUAUAAGUAGAUUGUUGCCACCCCUGAUGUUGUUUAUACACGCGUUUGCGCGAACGACCCAGGCAUCAUGAUUGAUCGAAUGCCCCGCAGAGCGGCCGGACAAGUCGACAAUGAAUAUUUAGUUACAUAGAAUCAGUCUCGCAGUCGCUUCCUGAGGCAUAAAUGUGCAGAGCUCAGGGCUUGUCCAAAAUGCCAGAGCCUUGAACCUUGAGAGCCGCAACGAAGCGCACAAUACAAGUAUGUAAUAUGGGGCAUCGGUUAUAAGGCGUCGUUGUAAUUCAAAAGGAAACCGCUGGUCGCCGCGGUUGGGAGGAAAGGUUGGAAAGGGUGGAAAGCGUGACCCGCCGAGUUUGGGCACACUGCGGCACAUUGCUCCCUGGCCCCACGGCGCCGGCGCUGAUGUGGGGCGGUGGGCUUCCCCCUUGUAGACCCCACACCACUCGCACCUUGUGAUGCUCGUUUGCCAAGGUUGGCGGGCAUGAAGGCAGGCUCUUACUGUCGCACUCACGGUCUUGGCACGCCUUGGCCUUGGCCCCAGCCAGUCAUCACCAAUCCCACCGCGUCUUAUAACGUGACGCUGUCACCACGGCUUGAUCUGGAACUGUUUGCAUUGCAUGCACGCGAAGUGGCGGGGCAGGGCGCCGGCGAAGAGCAGGUGGCGGCGGAAAGCAGCCGCCUGCAUCCUCAGGAGGCCCGCAAGGCGCUGGUGCCCGCCUACACGGACGCGGACGCGGACCCUUUCCAUCUGGUUUCUGCCUCUGCCGUGCAACGCACGGCCGCAGCUUGAGGAGGCCCUCGAGGCGGCGGUGAAAAAACACCAAGUGCGGCGGCACUUGCCGGCUGUGCAAGGCGGCCGCCUGGUAGCGGAGGUUCCGGGAGUUGGAGAAGGCGGCCAAGCAGCCGGCAGUCAAGGGCGCGGACGGCGCGGACGGCCCCGGCGCGAAGAAGGUGUGUGUGGUUUGCGUUUGUGGGUUGCAAGGGACCCGAUAAUAGACUUUGCAGCUUCGACCUUGCAUUUAGGUGCAAGUGACCACUGAAGCCGACAGCUGAUGCCGCCAUGUGUACGGUAUGCGCGCUUCACACAAGGGGGUGGGACCGAUUCUCGCCAGGCCACCCUUGGAUUGAGCGAAGAGCAAAUGGAAAUUUGAAGCUGUACAACCCACGAAUUGUCAUAAUGGAAGAGGAGGUGGAGUGAUGACACCUAGCGACCUGUACGGUACGGCGGGAGGAGUGGGGCGUCCUAUGGGAGCAAGCCCUCUACACCGCAUUUCGCAAGACGGCAGGCGGGCGGGCGGCGGGCGGCGGCCGGGCGGCGGGCGGAGCGGCGACUCAGCAGCUGGCAGCAGAAGCAGCGGUGCCGGUGGCACCCCCUGCCUUCCUUCCGCCCCUGGUCUACUAAUGCUGUGCCGGUGUGCCCUGUGGCUUGUGCCUGUGUGUGUGUGGGGGGGGGGGGGGGCUAUGACAGCUUGAGGGUGGGGAAUCGCCCAUAGCGCCAGUGUGGGCGGGGAAUAAGUGGACGCAGAUGAGAGCCGCGCCGUGUGGCGGCGUGCAGUCCAAGCUGUGGUGACGCUGUGACUGCUUGGUCUGGAACUGUUUGCAUGUGUGGCUCUAGCCCUGCUCAAUCGUGCUCAAUGCUCACAUUACCAGGGCUUGCCGCAAGGUCCGCGACAAUGUCUCCGGUUCUCCGCAUGACCGCCUCUUCCAACAUAAAUAAAUAGAUCCGCAGUGUACGGACCGUUGUGUUGCAAAUGAUCCCACAACUCCUCAUAUCCCGUAAUCCUGCUGAGGCUUCGCCGGCAACAGUACGAGCCGGCAGCAGCAGUUGCUCUUGAGUGAUGACAACACAAGACAAAGAAUGCAUGCGGCAACAUUACCCGCUGCCACUGCCUACCACUCUAACCCCCGCCCAAGGCUGGUUCCCUUCAUGCGCACAAACCGUAGGCUGUGGCGGGCUGUGGCCGCGGUGUCCGGCUGGCUCCCAGGCUGCCGCAGCCAGAGCUCCAUCCCAUGCCGUAACCGCUCCACCCCCUAACCGCUCCUCCCGUGCCCCCAGGCCAGGUCAGGGCCGAUACCUCCCCACGAUGUGGGCGCUCCGGCCGCUGUCCGCCAGUCCGAGCUACUCACAGCUGCUCCUUCCACAUCCCACUGUGCUCAUACCAGCCGUUGGGCUUGCGCGUGAUGAGGCGGGUGGGCGAGAUGAAGAGGUCCUGUGGUUACGGCGCGUGCACGAGUUGGGGCUGCUACUUACGCGAGGCGUGUCACAAACGGCAACUGGGCAACCCGUCGCCCACAGUCCACCCCAGCCCUCGCCGCUAGCCACCUCCGCCCACCCUCAAACUUCGCAAAGCUCCCAUCCACCGCCGCCGCCACCCACACGCCGUGCCCGCACCUUGUACUGAGGCUCCUCGCGCAAGAAGGCCGGCACGGCGUCGGAGCCGAAGCACACGAUGGUGGAGCCGCUGCCGGUCAUGAACACGGACCUGAACUGCCCGCUCUCGAUCAGCCGCUGUUUUAGCGCGGCAAGCUCGGGCAGGCUGGCAACGAGGGGGUUGCAGAAGGGGGCACACGCAGCGGGCGGAAUGGCACAGCUUUCCACACAGAAGCUUCGCGCAGCAACGCAGUACGGCACGCUACAGCUACAGCUGCACCUGUCCGCCUACUCAUGACCCUUCCUUCCAUCAACCCCACCUGGGCCACACGCCCUGGACCUAAGAAAAACAUACAUCACCCAACAACCCUUGCCCCACACCCACAACCCCCAGCACCCUCCUCCCAUGGACCUCAUCUGCCUCACUUGUCGAAGGCGGGCUGCUCCAGGUCGUUCACGGCGGCGGCCUGGUCCACGCCCUUGGCGGCGGCGAUGGUGUCAAGCAGGCCGCGCGGGUCGGCGCUGGAGCGGCGGUCCAGGUCCAACGACUUGAAGAUCUUGGGCGUGGCCAGCCCCACCGGCGGCUUGACCUGUGGGAGCGAUGUGAGUGCGCGGAUGCGGGUGCAGGUGCAGGCGAGAGCGCAUGGGCGAAACGGAAGGACGGGAAUGCCGGCAGUCAAGCGCGGAGUAGUAGCUGGGUUGAGGGGGCCAGGCGGGGGAGCUGAGCAGUUAGGUGCGGGCCAGCAAGCUAACUCCGGCAAGCCUUCGCAGGGUGGCGCGUCCCGCCCCAAACAGGGUAUCCACCCGCACGCCCCCUUGCCCCUGUCGCAGUGCCCACCAGCAGCAUGGGCGUGUCCAGCGGCACGGGCGGCGGCACGUCCUCCACCACCUCGCCGCGGCCGGUGCAGUAGGCGGCGCCGGUGUUGGAGAAGAAGACCGAGAUGUCCGACCCGAUCUCGCCCGACCACUCCAGCAGGUCCUCGUUGGAGGCGAUGCCGCCCAUGAGCUUGUUGGCCGCGAACAGCGUGGUGGCAGCGUUGCCGCUGCCGCCGCCCAGGCCGGCGCCUGGGAGGUGAGGGCGACACGGGGACGCCAAUGCGCGGCAGGUGUGGGCGUGCGCGGGGGGGGGGGGAGAACGAGGCGCAACACGUGGGUGGCGCUCACCUCUUCGCUCAUGCACGUGCAGCCUGGUUAUGAGUACAGCCCGAGUCCCACAAACAUGUAUGUGCCCCUGCCCGCCGGGCCUCACCGUGCGGCACGCGCUUGUGCAGCUUGACCUUAUAGUACAUGGUCUGCAGCGUCUUGCGCCGGUACAGGUUCAGCGCCUGCACCCGGUGCGGUGGUUGUAUGAGGGGCGUGAAGGCAGUGGGGAACGGGUGUACAAAUGCGGGAGGAAUGAGUACCGUGUUCAGGCGCCAUGUUGCAAGUAAAGGUCGAAGAUGGCUGCUUCUUGGCAGCGGCUUCGCCAUAGCAGCCAAUAGCAGGCUCUGCGUAGAUGUGGCCUUCGUACCCCGCGCCAGGCAGCCUUGGCCCCGCAGUGAACCGCACACGCAACUUGAAUCCCUCCACACACGCAUGUGCCGUCAGGUACGCAUCCCAAGUUCCUUCACACAUGCCACUGCCAUUCCGUGGCUGACUCACUUUGAUGACCAGGUUGGACUCGUCGGUGGGGAUGGUGGGGUCGGAGCACUCCAACGUGUCUUGCAGCGCGUGAGGGGUGGUCUCGAACUCCAUGUAGUCACCCAGGUCAAUCACCUGAGCGUAUGUGGCACCAGCACCAGGUGGGUUAGGUGCAGGGGCAGGAGCAGGGUUGGUGGGCAGUGGGGGCACGCAGCUAGGGAUGGAUCCCUAGCUGCGGGAGGCCACUGAGGGUGGCGGUGCCGCGAUGGCGUGCCUCACCGCGGCAAGCAGCCCACCACCGUGUGGCCGCGUGGCCGGCCGAGACGCCCCCCACCCAUGUCAGUGCCACUGGCACAUGCCCAAGGAGCCUUUGCUGGCUUACGUGGAACAGCGACGCCAGGUCAUGGUACCCAUCCUCACGACGACGAACGACACGCAGGAACAGGUUGAUCUGCGGCAACCAGACCCAGGCAUACAUGCGUAUCAUAUCUAAAACCACUGUUUCCCGCCACCGCUCUGCCCACCAGUGGGGAGGAAGCAAGGCAAGCAAGCGCAUGAUGGAUGCCGAACCUUUGAGGGCGAAAAAAGCUGGACCGCGUUAGGCUUAUAGUUCGCGUGAACCACAACUGCUGAUGUGCGUCUGCGCGCGCCCGCAAUUCGAGCAGGGGCAACUUUCCGUGCAAGCGAACUCGUCCGCGAGACGCCACGCUGGGCAGCUCCUGAUUGUAACAUCUUCACGCUCAAGGUUAGAUGUACUUGAUAUUUGAGUGAUCGGGCGGAAAUGCUCUGAAACAAGGACAAAGCUCUGAGCAGGCGUGUCUGCUUGUCCUAACGAAUCCCGCCACUUUGUUUGAACUUAUUGAAUUCUAGUAAUCCAUGGCUCGGCAAGGAAAUCCGUCAGAAGUUUCAUGCAUGGGCUGGAUGGAAGUUUCGCUUUGACCACGCUGGAGCCAUGUCGACAGGUUUGAUGGUCUUUAAACUGUGCAGAAUCAAAUUAUUACGACGUAUCAGGGCAUUUCGACUGCACCCACUGCACAUACUUUUGUGUUUCGCUGUUUCCUGGGCUCAAUUGCGUCACAACUUGUUAUUUCUAGUAAACUAAGAUGAGUAGCUCGUUUUUGCUGUCAUCACUUUGCUCGAGAGGCGCCGUUUCGACGGCGUGGACCUCCUCCUCAGCAUGUGCGCCGCCGGCGUGCACCUCUCGGAUGGUGCUACGGAGCCGCGGUAGGUGCCUGUGCACCUAAGUUAUCUCGUUCGGGAAGGCGGGAGGCGGCCGCUGCGAUUGCCACUUCGCCUGAGCUCGGAAGUGGCCGUUCGCGUGCCUGUGGCGGUGGCACUGCGGCCCUACGCCCACCGGAUCCUGUGCGUGCCGCUGCAUUGCUUCAAGUACCCGCUUACCCUUGCUAUUUACAUACCCCGCGUGCAGCUGUUGCACCCCAUUCCGCACAGCCGGUGCAGCACCGGCGCGGACGCCUGGAGGUGGUCUGCAUGGUGGGUGCCGGCCGGACAGCAGGGAUGGCUGCCAUAUAAUACUGUAGCCCCGGAUGCCCGUGGACCAUUGUUGAUCCAGCUCUAGACAAAGUGCAGCCCCAUUCAGCCUGCUCUGGACGGCCGGACCUGACAGCAGCUCUCGAUUCUGCGCCCACCACCGCACAGGCGCACCCCCGGCGAGUCGCCAAGGUGGCCAGUGCCAUCCAGCGCGAGAUUGGCGACAUGUUCGUGUCAGACCCGGUAAGAACGGGUGGGAGUGGGGAGGUAAGGAGGCACGGAAGCUGAAUGCAGCCCCAGAGGGCUGGGGUGUGCUGUCAUGGACCGUGGGAGUGGGUGGUAGGGAAUCGCAAGUUGAGGGUCGGGAGCCUGGCAGCAGGAGGCAGGCAGAACCAGCUGCCCGGCAAGGGAGAUGCCUGGGCCCUGCGGCUGGCUGUUUCCGGGCAGCCUUCGCGUCUGGGCUCGGACCCAGCACGCCACCAUGCUGGCCAUCUUGAAAGGCAGCGGGCCAUCGUUUACCAUACCCUCGCCCUACCUCUCACUAGCCCGCCUCCUCCCGCCGCUUGGCUUGACCUGACCCGUACCGCCUUUCCUCCGCACAGGUCAUCCAGGCCGCCAUCUGCCCGGAGCGCAAGCUGGGUGACGACGCGCUGUCGGCCGUGGCCAGCAUCACCGACACGUACGUCUCCAACGACCUGCAGGUGCGCCCGCAUCUCCCAAUGUUUGGUUGGAAUGGGGUACGUAGUGAAGGCGGGUCUGAGGUACACGUCAUGAUGUGUGUCGGGCUAUGCGGCGCCCCCACGUGGGUGCGCACCGUGUGCUAUGGGGGAGACUUUCCGUCACGGCCCCGUCCCAGCGUCGCUGGCAACGUCCACAGCUGUGCGCACCACGCGGCGCUGCUCACUCGCUGCCAACACGACCGCUCCCCGGCCCUGCCGCGGUCCUGCAGGUGGUCAAGGUGUUUGUAAGCGUAUACAGUGACGACUACGGCAAGCGAGUGGCCAUGGAGAACCUGCAGCGCCUGGAGCCGUGAGUGUCCGCGGGCGCCGGGGGGCAUCGGACGAGGCAUCGGGGCGGGGAUGGAAAUGCGGGGGAUGGCAUCCGGGUGCGGGAGGGGUCGAGGAGUGAGGUGCGGCUGCGGGCCCACUUGAAGGCUAGUCUGUGCCCGCCGCUUGGCGUUUUCAGGGCCGCCACGGCGCGUGUGACGGUCGAGGACAGCGGACUCUCGCCACAUCACACCGCGAUCUGCUGCAGCUCACAUGUAACCGUACCAUACACGCCUCCCAUUGAGCAGCUGCCCCCUUGUGAUGUCGCUGGCUUACCGCCCCACCUGCCUCGCCAUUCCCGCGCAGCUACGUGCGGAGACUGAUCGGCCAGCGCGUGCGGCUGCGGCUUACGCCGGAGGUCCGGUUCGUGUACGACGACGCGGAGGAGGAGGCUGACCUGGUGGCGCGUGUUAUUGGGCGCGAGGAGGUGGAGCGGUACCGGGAGGAGAUCGAGGUGCGAACGGCGGGGAGGAGCCAGGGAGCGGCCGGGGAGGAGUGGGCUGCAGCGGCAGUGGCAGUGGCGAAGGGGCAGAGAGGAUUGCAUCGGGGCGCAGUGACGCAGGAGGUGGAGACGAGUUUUGGUUGGAUUGAGUUAGUAAGGAAGGCUUGCGAGGGUACGCGGCAGUAUGGCGCUGCAGCGCGGCGCAGCCACUGGCACCUUGGGCAGCUGCCUCGCCAAACAAACAGCACCUCGUCAGCAAAGUCGUAUGCCUUUGUUGGUUUUCAAGUGCCAUUGUGGGGAUUCAGUUCCGACCUGUUGCCCGGCCUUCGCAUGCAGGCGGAUAUGAUGCCGGGCCGCCCCCGCGGCGACGGCGCUAACGAGGAGGAGGAGGAGGCGGACGAGGAGGCUGGCGUCGAGGGCGCUGACGCGGGCGAGGGCGAGGAGGAGGAUGAAGAGGAGGAGGGCGAAUUCGAGGAGGACGAAGACUUUGAGGACCCAGACGAGCGGCCGCAGGAGUACCCCAACCCCUUUGGCGACCUGUUCAUCGACGACCGCGAGUACCGGGCAGUGGCGGGCAAGCGCGUGGAGGAGCGGAGGCGUAGCCAGGGCCGCCCGCAGCCGCAGGGCCGCGGGCAGGGGCGGCGUGGGCAAGGGCAGCAGCGGGAGGCGGCGGCGGCUGAGACUGGUGAUGAGUAGGUAUAAUGUCUGUUUGUCAGUGUAUACUAACGAGCACGUGCGGGCAGCGUGCAGGAACCGUGGAUGGCCGCAGCAGGCAGGUUCAUUGAUAGCGCAGUGCGACGGGAGCACGGGGCCUCCGGCACGCAAGAGCUACUGGCCUACUGCUAGAGUACGUCCUACGGCGCUAGUCAGGAUCGCGCCUGGGAUCGUCGUCUCGCCUGGUGCGAUGGGACGGGGUAAGGGGCAGGGUGGCGUAGUCUGGGCAUUCGUCUCGCCCGGUGCGGUCUUCUCUCCAUUACGUAGCAGUUGCAACGCGUGGAACGUCGUGUACUCGCCAAGGUCUUGUGAUGCGACGUGAUACGUUGUCUGUAUUAUCAGUUCUUGGGCGGAAGGCCUGACGAGUCAGUGAGCGGAUGGGCGGGCGAGGGGCAAGGGGGGGGGGCUGCUGGAAGCUGGGUGGGGGUGGGGACCGGCGUGGAGUGGGGCCAGACCGACAUAGCCCAUCGCGCAUCGAUAGCUUACCCAAAGACCCUGUCAGGUAACCUUCACCGCAUCGUCUAAAGAUUAAACCAGCACAAUCAGUGUAUUAGGAACGCUGUGUUCCAGUCGUUUGCCGGCCCAAAAUACCUUUCGCCGCAUAAGCUCUUGACAGCAUCGUUACUCUUUGUUGGCCAGGUCUUCCAAUGAUGGAGUCAUAUGAUAGGAACUAGCGACUAAGGGAGGAGGAGCGGACACCGCAGAAAUGGCAGGGGUCAGUACGCAGUCUUGUUCGAGUGCCCUCUCGGCCAGUGCAAAGCGUUAUGAGUGCGAUGCUGUAUGACGCCCGAGAAUUACCGAGGCGUCGCGCUGGCAGCACGUGUGGCAAUUGUGAAAUGUCUAGUUUCAGCACCUCGGGUUUGCGGCCAGCCGGCGCGCGCGCAGUCCUUGAUAGCCAUACUUUUGCAAUGCAACCUCAAUGAAUGUGUCCGGCCCGGCGCUUCACUCCUCGCGUUCGUAAUUUUGGCACGCUCGCCCACGGGGGAGGGCAACGCUCGUAGCCUCACAAAGCUUAACCUUUACCGCCCCAACCCCUUGUGACUUUACUUGCAGCACCGGCGCUCCAUGGAGCUGGGAGAGCUGCGCCCGGUGCCCGAGGACGCCUCAAAUGCGCCGGGGCUGGGCUCACAGCCCUCCCAGCGCAUCACCAGCCGGCCAAGCACCCUCUCCCGCGUCGCGGAGACUCUGGGCCUUGCUGGCAUGCUUAGCGGAAACAGCGGCCGUCUCAGCGGCAGCGGUGGCACUCCCGCUAACGGUAGCACGAUUGGUCAAGGCGGCAACAACGGGGUCCUUGUGGCGCAAGGCAGCAGCGGCAACGGGUUGGGGCAGGGUGGCGGCAUGUCGGGCCGGGUGAGGCGCGAGCCUUCCCGGGCGGGGCCCGGAGGCGGCGGCAGCGGCCUGGGCCGCACCAGCCUGAUGGUGAAGCUGCAACAGAGCAGCAAGCAGCUGGUGGACCUGGGCAAGCUGCAGGCCAAGUGGGUCAGCGCCACGCUAGUCAAGAAAAGCGAGGCGCAGGACUACGUAAAUGAGGGUGCGUGGGCGCUGAGCGGCGCAGGCUGGGUAGGGCGGAAGGACUGGAAAGGAGUACAGAGACGUGAGGACUGGGACGUAUACCAGUGAUGUGGCGGGUUUCCGGUUCGCCCUGGGCUUUCUUGGAGCUGGCCGUCCUGGCCCGGAAGUCACGCCGGCCGCGGGUAACGAGCAGCCGCGACAGCUAGGCGCGGGUGGAUGCCGUCCGGAGUGGUCACCUCGCAAGCUAACCUCAUCAAAUCAGCCUCGCACUAGCGGCCCCGAAGUCGCACAUGCAAGCCGCAACUCCUUUGGGGUUUGGGUCUACCGGCUCAGCCGCCUCAACGGCCUCACUCUCGACAGCCACCAGCUCAUAUGCCGCGCCGGCCGUUGCACCACCUGCAGCCCCGGAACAAGGCGCAGACCCGUGCCCAUGCCCAACUGCCCAACAAGCUACCAGUACUUACACGCUGUGCUUUCUUACUCUCCGCUGCGCCUGCCACGCCCGCCACUGACCCUGUCGCCGCCCGACUCGCCACUCCCGCACCGGCACCCAGAGGACCAGGGCUUUGCGGCGCUGCUGGCGCGGCAUGUGGAUGUGCCCACAGCUGCAUGGCACCGGCUGCUGGCGGCUCUUGGCGCGGAACAGCAGGAUGGGCAGUUCUGGCAGUAAGUGGCGGGGUGGGGUGCGGGGCACCGUCUUCGCUUACCAUUCAAACCGUCUAUGGGGACGUGAAUAGCAGGACGGGGUUGCGCGGACAUACGAGGCUGCGGAAGGACGGCGCUUGACAUCAGGCUAUACCAUCUUUGAUCUGGUUGGGCGGUCUGAUAGCCGCAGAUACCGUCGCUGCUUACACAGCGCCACGUUCAUUCGCACUCGCAGGACGGGGCUGGGCACAGCGCCGGACGUCCAGCGCGCAACUCGGACCUCAAUUGAUGAGCCCCCUGGGGGGUUUGGGCGGAGGCAGGAGGCUGACGGCGGCGACGGAGCCGAGGAGGGGCGGGCGAGAUCUCUGGAACGACAACCGUAAGCCGGCAUUCAGCUUUGGCUGGUGAUCGAUGCCUGCUUCACAGACUCCCAUACGCAAUCGGCACGGCGGGGAUAGAUUGCAGGGCGCACAGCUUGCCGGCCUUCGCCUCCUUCCCUUGGCAUCCUGUCACAACAUCCAGCCUCACCUGGCCUCGCACCACGUUGCUCCUCCCUACCGGCAUCGCUUUACUAUGGUAGACAUCCCAACGAACUCCACCGGCACUCGCCUGACUGGUGAUGCCUGCAACCCUGUCUUCCCCCGUGUCCCUUAUCCCACACAGCCGGCGCUCCAUCUUCUUGCUGCCGGUCGUGUCGCCCUACAACCUGGCUGCGGUGCUGUGGCAGCUGACCAUCCUGCUGCUGGACCUGGUGUACACGGCGUUCUGGGUGCCCAUGAACGUGAGAGGCGCGGGGCGGGCGGGCGGGAGGGCCAGCUGAGAGGCAGGAGCAGCCGGCAGCGAAACUGGUGCACACGCGCAGGCGUGGCAGCCGCGAAAUGCAAAGGGUACCUCUUUCCUCCACUGACUGCCACCAGCAACACCACUAACUCCGCCCGACAUGUCCUUACGUGCGCGUGCGUGCGGCGGAUGCGCAGGUGGCGUUUUGCACCGCCGAAUACGGCAACCUGCACAGCGGCUGCACCGUGAGCGAUCUGGUGGGGGGCUGCUUCUACUUUGUCAACGUGUUGGUCAGCUUUCAGGUGCGGCGGGAACUGCAGGGGUUUGUAGGUGCACAAGCGGGUGUUACAACAAGGUGGAAACGGCCUUGCCUUCGCCGCACAGCCUCUGAAGCUAUCACCACCCCGUUUCCAUUCGCAACUAUGCGCGUCGGACCCAACCUCCACCCACCUGCCGAAUCCUGCAAACGUCCCGCCCUUCCGUGUCCCGCAGAUCGGCGUGGUGGCCACGCAUGGUUACCGCAAGCGCACGGUGGAGGACGGCGGGCUGGUGGCGUGGCUGUACGCGCGCUACGGCCGCUUCUGGCUGGACUUCGUGGCGUCCGUGCCCUUCAUCUACCUGGUGGUGCUGCUGGCAGGCAGCUUCAAGCUCAACAAGAGCUGGGUCAACUGCCUGUCGCUGCUGCGGCUUUUGCGCAUGGUGCGCUUGGUCAGCAUCUCCAAGGUGCGCGCCGAUUGGGCUGGGGACCAGGGGGGCCUUCGAUGUGAUUAAGGAGUCGGGAGGCAGGGUUUAUCCUAUUGGGUUGAUGCACCUUUCAAAUCUCCAGCCACCACAAUUUCUGUAAGAGACUCCUGGUUGGGCUGGCGCCUGGAGGCGAGGGCAAGCCACAGAAGCAGCAAUAGCUGCAGCGGCAGCAGUAGGACCGUAGGCGUAGUCAGUGUGCUGGGGUUUGCAAAGCGGAAACUUGCACCACUGUUUAGGCUCGUCCUCCACCUCCUCCGCCCCACGCCUGCAGGUGGUAUACGUGGACAGCCUGAGUGGCCGCUUCCAGGACUCCUCCAUUGCGCGGCGGCUCAGCGUGACGGUGCUGUACAGCGCGCUGCUGGCCUACCAGCUGGCGGUGGCCAUCAACCUGCUGGCCUGCAUCAUGGUGCUGUGCGCCUACUUCGAGGUGGGUGCGGCGGGCCGGUGUGGCUGGCCUGGUGGUGGGCAGGCUGGGCCGCCGGGCGGGCUCGGCAGCGGCCACUGGCAGGCUGGCGGGCGGGCUGGCGGGUUUGCAUUGGAUCUCGAGGCUUGGUGUGGGGGGCCGAGACAGCAGCUGGGAGCUGGACGGCGGCGCGAGGCCUGUAGGCUAGGAUGCAGGAAGGGUGGCGUUGGGGAGCUGUAAGCACCAGACCAAUGCUGCUGACCAGCCUCCCCCUCGACCUGGUUCGCUGGUCGCCUGCACGCGCCCGCCCGCAGGGCUACGAGAACAGCUGGAUGUCCAGUGUGUCGUGGACGCGCCUGUGGGAGGCCGCGCCCAUCUACCAGUGGUACUGCGCCGUGUACUGGAUGAUUGUGACGGUGAGAGAGCCGGCAGCCCCCCUGCUGCUGAUGACGACGACGCCCUGCGCUCAUGCCUGCAGCCCAACCAUCAACCUAACGGCCUCACCACCUACCUACCUACCUGCCUGCCCGCCUUGCCUGUCUGUCCGCCCGCUGUCCGCCCGCCUUGCCUGCCUGUCCGCCCGCAUGCCCACCCGUAGACCACCACCACCGGCUUCGGCGACUUCCAGCCCCGCAGCGCGGCGGAGCAGGUGGUGGCCAACGUGGCCAUGGUGGGCGGCAUGGUCAUGUUCGGAGUGCUGGUGGCGUCCAUCGGUAACGCGCUCAGCAGGGCCACCGCGGAGGCACACCAGGUGCGGGGUAGGGGGCGAGGGAGGGCUGCGGGAGGGUUGAGGGAGGGCGUUGGGUGGCAUGGGAGGGAGGGGCCCAGGCGCGGCUAGGAGCUGCCGGCGCCGCUUGUGUGCCUUGGACCUCGUUGUGAUGUCGUCUUGACGCUCCUCCUCUUCAUGCUGUCGCGCAACACAGGCGUACGGCUCGCGGCGCAAAAUCAUGCACGUCAAGGAGUGGGCGGAGCACCGCGCCUUGCCGCCCAUCAUCUCCAAGCAGGUGCAGGUGCGUGACACCGCCGCCCGGCCUCGCGGCCGGCGUUGCAGCACGGCCGCCAGGCUCUUCGUGGUCAGCAUGAUGUGGCUGCCUGGGUCGUAGCAUGGACUCUCACACAUGCGAUGUACGGCAUUCACGCACGGAAUUGCACGUGUCGACUCCCGCUGCCCCCCAAACCUCUGGUUUGUUCACGUUUCCGUCUUUCGCGGACGGCUGACCCCUCCCCCCCCAGAACUUCUACGCGGACAAGUACGGGCGCAAGCAGGAGGACGCCAUCGACAUGGCCGUCAUGUCGGAGCUGCCCAGCCGCCUGCGCGCCAAGGUGGCCCGGGCCAUGGUGGUGCCGCUCAUGGCGGACUGCCACAUCCUUAUGGAGCUGCCCGAGGACCUGCAGGUGUGUGUGCGUGUGGGUGGGGAGGGGGAGGGAGAUGUCCAUGCAAGGCAAGGGGGAAGGCAGCCAAGUCGCGAGGUAGCGUGAGUGGCGUGCGCGGACGGUGUGAUGGUGCGGAUGAGAGGUGCUGUGCAGUCCAAGGGCACAGCAGGGGCCUGUAGCAGGAGGGCUAGGUGCAGUGGCGUGCAUGCAGCGAAACACAUGCGCUUGCAAUUUGACCAUAUGUCAUUGUCUGGCGCCUUCGCUUUGACCCGCAGUCGCUGUUGGCUGAGAACAUGCGGCCCAUCCGCCUGCCCGCCGGUAAGCAGCCGUGCAAAGCGGCUUCACCUUGGCGGACUGUGUGCCAGCGUGCUUGCACUUGCACCUGUGCCCUACCCAAGCCGCUUGCCACACAUCCACACCAGCACCGCCUACCCGUCGUACCCACCGCCGGCGCCUGACGCCCACAAACACGCACACGCCCGGACACAGGCGAGGACCUGUGCCAGCAGGGCGACGUGGCGGACUGCUUCUGGGUGCUGCAGGACGGCACCGUGCAGGCCGUCCGCUACAAGUGAGCGCGGCAGCAGGCAGGGGCACCCGCCAGCACACGGUGUCCGCGCCGACUACUUCGGCCCGGUCUCCGAACGGAACUGCCGCAAAGCACACCUAUCCUGGACCUGUGGAACACCUUGCUCACCUCCUCCUCCACCCGCCUCCUCCACCCACGCUCUACUACACCUGCAGGGAGGGCUCGGUGACCAUCGACGCCUCCGAGACGCCGCGGCUGCUGGGCGAGGGCGUGCUGCUGGGCGACGUGGUGGAGGAGUGCCGCGUGCGGCCCUGGACGCUGCGCACCGUGACGCCCUGCCGGCUGUGGGGGCUGCCGCUGCAGGACCUGCUGCCGCUCAUGCGCAUGUACCCAGCCAUCGGGCUGCUGGCGGCGGAGUACGUCAAGUUCAAGGUGGUGUACACCUACAACGGCGACAGGUGCGGUGCGGCCGGCGUGAGGACUGUAGGGUUUACGAGGAAACCCAGUGCGCGCUGCACUGUGCUGCGGGAGCAUUCUUGGCUUGAAGAUUGGGGGGGGGUGAUGAGUGCGGCGCAAAUGCAUGGGCAUUGCGGCGCUGGAAAGCGGCCAGCAGGCGCGGCGCUGUAAUGGCGAUGCCUCAGGAAUGCGUCGUCCUGACGGUGUAUGCGCUCGUGUGUGUGCCUGCCCCUCUGUCUGCUUCCUGCAGCACCGACGACCACUGGUGUGAGCUUGCGGCGGUGAUCGUCAAGUACAUGCAGGUGGGUGCAGUCAGUCAGUGUCAGGCGGCUUUCACGUCAUGCUUGCUGACCGGUAACUCCCCUUGGACAAGCCGAGAGCUGCUAGGCUGUAGCUCUGCUGCUUCCAGCAGUCCAGCGUGCAUGACUCAACUGCAUUACAUAUGCGCAGGAGCACGUGCCUGAUGACGAGGCAACCGAGAUGGUGGCCGAUUUGUUCAAGGUGAGCAGCACGGGCGCUGUGUUGCGUGCAGACUGGCCGGGCCAUCAGGGUCCAACAGACGCGAACAUGUGCACCACCUGCCUGCCAGGCCCACCAGCCCACACACAUGCCAUGGGACUCGUCCUAUCCUCCUGCCCCCUCAUGCCUACGCCCGCGCAGACCUCGGCGGAGGAGCAGACGCUGCAGCCCAUGCUGGAGCAGAUGCUGGAGAUGUGCGCCUCCCGGAACACCACCGGCGGCACCACCACCACGAUGCUGCUGCAGCAGGCCCGGUCCGGAGGAGGCGGAGGUGGAGGUGGUGGAGGCCAGGGCGGUGGAGGUGAUGGUGAUGGCGGGCCGCCAUCUGCACAGCCGCAGGUACCGUCGGCAAGCACAGCAUCUGCAUUUGGUUCCCCGGCGGCGGCCGCAGCGCUAGCGACGGCGCUUCAAGCGGUGGCGGCGGGGCAGGGCGCGGCAGCGGCGGGCCGGGCGGCCACCCAGGCGCAGGCGCAGGCGCUCCCGGCGAGGUCCUUGUCGCCGCCCGUGCGGCACACGACCGGGAACCUAGCAGGUAGGCAACAAUGCUCGUUCCGAUCAACAUUUUGGGCGUCCUUUUCGCACCUAGUGACAUGUGCUGCCCACGCUUAAUGUGCCCUCGGCCGCACUUGCUAAGCCCCGGCUGCAACCCGGACGCCUGGUGGUGGUGCAGGUGUGACCGGCAGCGGGACCGGCGGUGGCACUGACCUGUCACCCUUCGUCACCACGUCUGGUUGCGCCCCCGGUGGAUCAGCUGCUGCAGGCGCGGUGCAUUGCCCCGGCUGCCAGCGCUGCGUGUGCCCCAGCUGUGGGCAGGGUCUUGACACGCCCGGUAUCGUGGGCGUGGCGGCCGCGCCACAGGCGCUGGCGCCCGCCACUGCCGUUGGUCCUGCUGCCCCGCCUCAGCAGGCAGGCGUCACCAACCGACCCAACGCAGGGCCGGGGGUGCGGUCGUGGGCUGCGCGCACGGGGACGCUGCGGCGCGUGUCGAUUGGCCAACGCCCGGACGCGGUGUGGGCGAUUGACCGCAGUUCCAUGGACCGGCGGCAGCUUGGCGCCAUGAGCAUCAUGCCCAUGUUUGAGUAAUUUGCAGACAGCCAGUUCAUGCCAAUAACAUUGCGAUUAACGCACGUACAUGUUCCUGCAACAGUCAUGUGCCAAGCAGAGGCGUUGGGGGCUCUAGUUUAGCAGGCCGCUUUCUGUGUUGCAUGGUAACUCCGAGUGCGGUAGGUUCAUGCGAUGCGCUUUGCUGUGCCAGCGGGGGCUGUUUGCGUGAAGCCACAGGUGUCGCUUGACUGGAUGUGGGCUUGCAAGGCGGGGCUCCGGGUCUUGGGGUGCAUCUUGAAUGUGCGCAACGCAGCACUGGUCCAGGGAUUGUGAGCACUGUCUGAGGGAUGCGGGGUGUGUUGUAAUAUGUCCGGGUAGCGCCGCGUCGCGCCAGCAAUGAAUUGUGCAGACGAGGCCACGGAGAGCGCGUAGCGGUGUGCAUGUGAGGCGUGUGACGGAUGAAUGUAUGCAGGUGGGUUGUUCCCCCGCUGCCGUGUGCGUUGCGUGUAUAGACCGAAGCCCCAGGUGCCUUCAGAGCAGGGAUCGCGUCAUCCGGUCUGGGGCAUGCAUUGCGCGUAGGAGUGUGGUGACACCAAUGGGGCUGAUCUUGGCCGAUGCUGUGCGUGUCCGGUGCAGGAUUGUGCUUGGUGCAAAUACCAUGCGAGCCGUGUAGAGGUCCGGCGGAGGCCGAAGGGCUGUAGGCUCGCUGCCUAGACUUGGGCCCGCUGUUCGCAGUCGGUGGUGUAGGGGACCGGUGAUUCGGUGUUACGGUACACAACUGCUUCUGGCGAAACCCGACAAGCCGACAAAGCACAGGUAGCUUGUAACUCCCGUCCAUACCAGGAGCAGACUCUCAACUUUACCACCGUGUGAGGGGACUGAAAGGGAGGUUCGAGCAGGUCCUAAUCUGGGAGUCAUAGAGAAUGCUUAUGCGACUAACCCUAUCGGACGUGAAGGAUGACAUGGCUCGGGUGGCAUCCAGCAUCGCGUAGAAAUGCAGUCGAUACAGCGGAUUGGGCGGAACGGCAACAAGGCGUGUCGCAGCCCGCACGCAGUGUGUGUCUGCAUGAGCGGGUGCGGCUGGUGGGGGAUGUGUGGAUGAAAGCCAAAGUCUGUGUGUGUGCGGGGGAGGGGGGGGGUUGGCACUGGUUGGCGUGGGGUUGACCUCGUCGCAUCGCCAUGGUGGCUCAAUCGUGGCAGGUCAGGUAGCAUGACGGUGUCCAUAUAGAUUCGGGGGGUACUAUAGGCCGUGAAUCACAAAAUAGCAACAUACUGUCCUCGUUCUCGCGGCCAUGGCAUCUGCAAUCUUCGGGACGGGUUUCUUGCCGCUAGCGCUGUUCUUCGCUGUCGCCCUUGUACAUUACAAGUACAUAUAUGGUGGUUAUUCUGCUGGUUCGAUAAGUGCUGACGCACAUACGCCGGCCGUGUUGUCAAGUGAGGCGAGAGUCACGGGCGGGUGUCCAACCUGUCCCCCUUCCGACGCACCUACGACAGCGGGGUGGCGCCCUGUGUUUCCCCUCCUCGCAAAAGGACCACUUGCACGCCCCUCGCAGAUCUCUUCUUCCCAGAGCUUGAAACAGGAGUAGACCUGCAGUCUCGGUACGCCAGCCUCUUCCUCGAGACUGGCGCGUCCACUGGCGGCCUAUCUGAACGGGACCAGGACGCCGCCACCCGCAGUGCCUUGGCUGGAGGUAGCGCAGUUGGUAGCAACGGCAGUGACAGCGGCAAUGGCUACACCAGCGCUGGGGAAGGUGACGGGCGAAGCAGCUCGCACUCGCGUCUGGUGCUACUACCCGACCUGCACGGCGACGCACGGCAGGCGAGUUGCAUGCCGGAAGAUAGCAAUCAAUGGCCCACGCAGCCACGUGUGAGGUGCUACGUGCCUGAGCAAUCUGCAUGCUACUCUUCACGUGCCUGAUGCAUGCAUGGAAACAGUACCGCGUCAGUAUGUCAGCUCUAUGUGCACUCCGUUCGCAGGCGGCACGCGCCCUGCAGCUUGCCGGGCUGAUUUCGCCCAACUACACGUCCGCUGCAGCGCCGCAUGUGUCAGGCCUGCCAGAAACCUGGCACUGGGAAUGGCAGUGGACGGGCGGCGAUGCAAUGCUGGUGCAGGUGGGGGGGGGGGAUGCACACCUGGUGGACUCGGGUGGGCGGAUCAGGAUCAAUGGAGGGGUGGCCGUGAGGGAUGGCCGCCUGCCUGGCAUUGUGGUUGACAGCGGCUGAAAUCACCCGCUGCCACACCAUAUGUCACAGUACAUACAUGAUCGUGUGCCAGCACACAGCCGGAGCAGACCAGUAAUAGCUAGCACAUGCAUGCGCCGCUACAGGGGCGUGAUCCAACAAACACCUUUUCUGUGCGUAUGUGUGUGUAUGUGCACGCGCCGCGCCGUCCCCGCAGCUGGGUGACGUGGUGGACCGCGGGCACGACAGCCUGGCGCUGCUGGGGCUGCUCCAGCGGCUGGGGCAGGCGGCGGAGGCGGCUGGCGGGCGCGUGCAGGCGAUACUGGGUAACCACGAGCUGAUGCUGGUGCGUGUGUGCGGGCGGGCGGGCCGCGUGUGAGUGCGUGUGGCAUGUGGGCAGAGAAGCUGUGUCGCGAUGCACGCCCCCUCUCUGGCCGCCGAAUGCCUCCGCCCCAAACUGACACUUGGUGUGCUGAUGAGAAGGCUUGGCCCUUUACUCGGACAUAUAAUGGGCUGCUGGCUUGACUCCCCGUCCGCCUCAUAACGCCUCAUGUCGCCUCACAUCGCCUCAUUUCGCCUCGCUCCGCCUCGCUCCGCCUCGCUACUCUUCGGACCGCAGGUGCAUCAUGACUACCGGUCAGUACGGACGUCCGGGGAGGGGUUGUUCAUCCCAGCGGCCGCACGAGUCGUUACGAAAUGCAGCGCUGUGCAGUUCAAAGGCCCGGCGGGACUGCCUGCGGUCAUAUUAGCGAGCAGCCCGGUGCGCAGCAUGCCCCCCCCCGCGCUGCUGUCCACCUUGUGCUGCUACUGCUGGCCCACAUCGGCACAGGUACGUGUCUAGGGAGGAGCUGAGGGCGAUUGGCGCCGCCGCACGCCUGCCACCGCUGUGGCCGGGCGCAGGCGGCAGCGCCAGCGGCAGCAGCAGUGACGCACAUUCGGCAAGGGUUGGGGACGAUUCUCGCGGCGGCACAGGGACUUCGCGCGGUCUGGCCGGCAACUCGGCCGCAGCCGCGGAACAGCCGUCCGGCCACCACCUCCACUCGGUGCCGCAGCCCGACCCGACUGCAGAGCAGCAACAGGGGGUGGAGAAGGUGGCGCAGGUGGAGGCGGAGGAGGAGGAGGAGCGUUCUGAAGACGAGUCGCUGCGGGGUGAGCUGCCAGCCGGUCACCGGGUCUCCAUGCCUGCACCUGCUGCUGGCGAGCCGGGGCCGAGGCGGCAGCCGGACCACGACCGCGAGCUGCGACUUCGGCGGCUGCGGGAGUCAGGAUUGGCUGACUCCGGCCUCAGCGCUACUAAGACAGCCAGCGACAGAGCUAGCAGCAGUGGCAGUGCCAUCAGCAGCGGUAGCAGGAAUGGCGGCAGUGUCGCCACGCGGUGGCGCCAGUUGUUGCAUCAGGAACCGCAUCCCGAACAGCAGGAGCAGAAAGAUAAGCUUUUGGCGCAGAUGCGGGCGGGGCUGGAGCUGUGGCAAGCGGGUUUGGCGCCAAGCCAGCCGCUUGGCGCCCUCGUGAGGCGGCGCCCUCUGGCGCUGCUGGCUAAAGGGGGCGGCUGCGAGGUGUUGGUUGUGCAUGCGGGCGCUUUUCCUUGGAUGCUGACAGCGGUCGAGCGGGCUCUGGGUGUUGGGGAGCAGGGCGAUCAGCAACAGGAUGGGAACAAGGGAGGGGCAGGUGCAGGGACGGCGGCGACUGGGCGGCUGACGCCGCAGCAGUAUGUGGACGCAUGGAAUGCGGUGGCGUUAGAGGCUCUGGUGCACUGCGACGGCCGCUGGUGCCGGCACGGCGGCGAGCAGGCGGUGGCGGGUAAUGCGGGGCUCCAGGAAGGGUCUAGGAGCGGGAGAGGCGGCGAACCUGCAUCAGCGCGGUGGCGCUACCGGCGAGAGCUUGCAGGUGUGUGAGCGCGUGUGCAGACAGCGGUCUGGUCCAUGAUACUUGUCGUUGCGCGUGCGUCCCUGGUACAAUUUCCACCUGUCAUUCUGUGCCUUUCGUGGGUCGUUCUGCUCGCUUCUACUCGCCUGUGUCACUAAGCCCGGCAUGCGCUGCCUUUCGGACUCCAGAGCUGCUGUUGGGCGGUGAAGGCGCGGUCUGGAGCCGCCGCUACAUCCAGGCGCCAAAUGAGCAGGUGAGGCCGUCUGGAAACAUUGUAAGUGUGGUUGCCAGUCCGCAGCACGGGCUCUUCCUGCUGGGCGCCACAGCGCACACCGCCCUCCGAAUGUGCUGCCUGCCGCAGGUGUGUGCCGAGGUGGCGGCGGUGGCGGAGCGGCUGGGCGUGCAGCGCGUGGUGGUGGGGCACACGGUGCAGCGCGGCGGCCGGGUCAGCAGCAGGCAGGUGCAGGGGUCCGCAAGGGGCCAGGCCCAGCGCACGAUAGCGGAGAAUGACCUGGCCCAACCAUCGUGAACUUGCCUGCUGCACAGUUCCGCUGCACGGCCGGCAGGGCAAAGCAGAGCGCCCCCAUCAACCUCCAUUCCCGGCCAUGCAGGUGCGGCGGACAGCUUCUGAUGGUGGACGUGGGGUUGAGUCGCGCCAUCGCCGGCGAGAUGGCGGUGCUCACCUGCAGCAACGGUGUGUUGCGGGCCGUGUACGGCGAGGGGCAGGAGCAAGAGUUGUAGACGACUGGCACAACGCCUGCCAAGCAACCCCUGCUUUGCACGAUGACGGAUGAGCGAGUGCUGCCAUGUGAUGGCAAGGCAGGCAUGUUUGGUCGAGGAGCGGGCUACAUGAAACAGUCUCGACGUGCAGAUGGGUGCUCCCGUGGACGAGGCACGUAGCAGGGAAGGGCGUAGCGGCGGGUGCGCGGCAGCGUGGAUGCGGGGGUUGAAGAACCGGCAUGAUGGGGCAGCGCACUCGGAUUGAUUCUGAGCCAGCAGACGAGUGGCGGUUGUAACAGUACACAAGUGGUAGUAGACAUACAAUACCUUCACGAAAUUUGCGUCCUGAGCUGAAAUGCUUGCCGGGUCACGAAUCCUUCAAGCGCCACGCCGGGCGUGUGCGGGCGGCUGCAGCCAUGGUACGAUUAAGGAGUUUGCUGAUAGACACAAACUCAAGUCAGUAAUGAGGGCCGCAACCGGUCUUUCGUUGGGCGCAGGCAUGCCGCUCGCUUUGCGUAGUCGUGCUCGCUGCACGGUGCGCGUACGCGUGUCAGAGAAGGAAGCCGAAGCAGUAAGUCAUCAUGUGGGUCGAGCCUCCGGGCAGGCGUGGGCAUGAGCUUGCUCUCUAACGGCUGCAUGGGCAAACACAGAGUGCUGGCAAUAGGUAUACGCGACGCGGCAAAGCUACCCUACUGCUAAAUCGAUGUGGCAUGGCAAAAGCACACUGCUGCCGUGGCUCCGCCCUCCCAGAGCACAGCCCCGCCCCACCAGUGACCGUGCAACACCCACAGCUCCCGAAGACGCGCUGUGCUGCUUUAAGGGCCCAGCACCCAUCGAGUGCCAUCAAACCAACCUAUAGUACAAUUAGGUCUGGCAGCGCUGGUGUGCAGUGCUGGCACCAAUGCCAGUGCUGCCUGCUGCUGCUGGCCGCCGGUGCCUGACUGCGCUCUGCCCUGCCGCCUGCGCUGACACGGCAUCUGUCCUACAGGCUGCCUCAGAUAGUGUGGAAUCGGGGCUAGCGGCCAUCGCCAAGCAGAUCCUGCAAACAGAUCCCGAGGCGCGGGAGAGCCUGCGCCGCUACGAGGAGGCCGUGGUGAGCGCCGUGUGGGGCCGCCGGCGUACAUGGCCGCUGCUGGGGCAGUGGGCAGGGGCACUAGGGGAGAUGACGAGCAGCCCAGGGGCGCCGCCCCGUAGCUAGGGCCGCCGCUGCACGCGCCCUCUCCUGUGCAAUGACGAGAUAGAACCUACACACUCGCUAUGGGUUCCACUGCGGGCUCACAGCGCCUAACCACCACACGACCCUGCCUGCGCCUCGCCAGCCCGCACCUCCCCCAACACGAUCCCCAACCCACACCUCUGCACACACCUCCGCGCACACGGUAACCCCAGGUCCGGCUGGAGAAGGCCAAGGCUGCCAGCGAGGAGCUGGACCGCAUGUUCGCGGAGGCGCAGAAGGGCGCCGCCAUGUCGGACGAGCAGCAGGAGCAGGCGCAGGUGCGGGGUGUGUGUGCCGGAGGGCAGCCGGGCGUGAGACUGAUUGGGUGAAUGAGCAGGGGCAGUUCAUCAUGGAGCCCAACGUAAAGCCAAGAACCCGAGCCCACAGCGGUGCCAUUAGCUGUGGGGAUGGGCGCAGCAGCAGGACGGGCAGGCGGGCGCGGCGGAGCAGGGGCGGAGGUCAGAGGGGGAUUGGCGCGGGGUGCGGGAGAAGCUGCGAGGGUCUAUGGGAAGUUGCUGCCUACAUAAGAGUUGAAAGAACAUAUGCGCGCACGCCGCACACAUGAGCUCCGAUAACACGCCCUGGCCUCGUGAUGCUACCGGCCACGUUGCUACUUCCUCGACCCCGCAGCGGCAACGCGCCAACGAGGUGAUGGCUGAUGCGGAGGUGGCGGCGGCGGAGCGCAUGUUGGCGGCGGCGGAGUUGGAGUUCGCGGCGGCGCAGGCCGAGCAGCAGCAGUGGGCGGCGGCGGCAAACGACGUGAGUGUGUAACAGAACCUGAGAGAUGUGGUGGACGUUGCUGCACUGUGCCCUGCCGCCCCUGGCCUACCUCCUACCGCCCCGACCCAACCGUGUCCCAUCCUCGCCCCCGCCCUGCCUAUGUCACCACAUCUUGUCGCCAGGGCCCGGAGCGCAUUGAGUCGGUCAAGGCCGCCACCGUGGCCGCCACCGCCGGCCUGCUGGCGGAGCUGCCGCUCAUCACCCUGACCGCUGGCGGCGACACGCCCGCUCUGUCCUCCGCACUCAGCCUGCUGGCUGCAAUGGCCGCCUGCUUCCUGUUCGGCGUCACCUACCGGUGAGCCUGCACACACGUGUACGUGCCCCAUUGCGUGCUUGAGUUCCUGUGCGCAGGUGCACGUCUGCUGCGUGUGCUGCCUGCGUGUUCUUGUGUGCUACGGCGUGCCGGAGGCCAGGCCACCAGGCACCGCGCAAAUAGGGGAUGGUCCAGCGCCACAUACCCAGUUACCCACACCUCAUCCUUUUCAACGCGGCUGCUUGUACCACUGCUCUCGCCGCUUCCCCCGCCUCCCCCGCUGCCUCCACUGCCGCUGCAGGUACGCGGUGCGCUCCGACUCCUCCAACCGGCAGCUGCGGCUGGGCGUGGUGGAGGCGUUUGGCCUGGUGCGGGCGUCGGGCGCGGCGGACGUGCUGCAGGCCGGCUCGGCGGGCUCGCCCGAGGGCCCGCUGUCGCUGGCGGGUGCGGUGGGCCCGGGCGCGCUGUACGCGCUGGAGAGCCUCAUCCUGUUUGGAUUUGCGUCCGUGGCCGUGGAGGUGAGGCCGGGUGGCAUGCCUGCACAGGGCUGGACAGGGCUUGGUCUUGGUGGAUGGGCAGGUUUGUGCGGCAGGCCGCAACUUCAUGGGUAUUAGUUUGCAUAUGCCGUAGCAUCGGGCCCAUGUGAUCACGUCCAACCCAUGCAGUCUGACAAAAAAACUGCGUCGGCUGAGUGUCCUGUGGUUCCCCCCGACACCUUGCAUGCGUCUGCUGCCCGCACAGGCCGCCUUCAACGCCGGGUUCCUCAAGCGCUUCGGUGAGCGGCCGCAGCAGUGAGCGGGCCGCGGCGUCGCCAGGUUUUUAGAGGUAGCAGCAGCUGCAAUGUAGUAAUAUGGGUGUAGGUUGAGGUGUAGGUUGAGGUGUUGACGAAUCUUUGGGACCGCGCGGGAGUUACAGGGCUCAGCUCUGUGGUGACGUGAUGGGAGGCACGUGGAAAUGGGUGCAACGAGCGCACGCGGCAGGCUUCGUCGUGCCGCUGCGAACGAAUAUAUACUAUUCGGGCGAUUAGCACGCGCGUGAAAGUACAGCGUGUGAGGCGCUCGAGCGACUUGCUGGCAUGUGCAGUCCUGUGGGACGGCGGUGAAAGACGGUGAACAAUCGGAUGCAGUGUUUUGCGAAUGUGUUGCGAGUCACAAUACAAAGAACUUCUUACACGCGAGUGAAUGGAGGCAUAGUCGUGGGUGGCAAUGGCGAUUGGGGUGGGGGGGCUGCAGCAUAGGACGGGGUGCCGCCGCCACGGGCUGUGGCUGGCCAGGUGUCCAGGCCAUGACACAAACCUUAUUAAUGUCCGCACCUGACCGUCGUGUUUCUCGCUUAACAAUAUACUGUAUAUGCGUGCAUACAAAGCCGUAAUUUGGGACACAUUUACCUGACGACCUCGUUCAAUCAAGGGCUUGCGAACACAUCCUCGCAACAACCGAUUCGCGCUGUUAGCUGGUGGUACCUCUUGAUGGUGACGGCCCCGCUGCGACCCUCUUCUUUCUGGACCCAUAGGAGUGCAGCGACCGGGCCCCGCAGCAGUCACGCUGCGCGAGGGCCCGGCGGUCGACAACUAUUAUGUCCGCCUUUACGCGGAACUAUACCUAGAGAUGCACCGUCUGCAUAUGAUGUCGACACAAACGGGCGGCCGGCUGUGGCGGUGUCUGGUUCGCACGGGGUCGGAGAGAACGGGAACGGCAGCAGCACAAAUGGCUCGUCUGGCCUGUCAAAAAGCGACUACUCGAAGUUCGUGCAGUUCUUCCGGCAAGCAAGCCCAUAUGUGGAGGGCCACCGCGGGCGAACAUUUGUGAUCGUCAUUCCAGGCGUGGUAGGUCGCCAGCUGGCGUCGCGUUGUGCCAAGAUCACUUCUGACACUUGGAUGCGCCGCCUGCACGCAGGUUUCAGCGAAUCGGUCGCUCCUGCAGAGUAUAAUGUCAGACAUCGCCCUCCUGCACGGUAGGGUUUUGCUGGCGCCGGCGUGCUGCUCGCCGCAGGGGUUGCUUUGGAUCGGGCGUGCGAUGCCAAUGGAUAUCCUUGCUGCGCGCAGGCCUGGGGGUGCAGCUGAUUGUCGUCGCGGGCGUGAACCAGCAAAUCGAUGACAUGCUGCAAGAGCGCAACUUGACCCCUAAGUACGUUGGCGGCUACCGCAUCACGGACCGCGAGGCGAUGCGCAUCGCCAUUGAGGCGGCGGGGCAAAUCCGUACAACGUGCGAACAGUUCCUCAGCAAGGUGGGUCAGGGAGUGCAAAACCCUAGCCGUGCCAACCUGGCACGGCAGACGUGCGUUGUUUGCCCUACGUGGCGGCGCGGAGACCCGCUAGCACCGGUGGCGCACCUAGCGCGCCUUCGAACAACAGGCGUGUACAGCUCCUCUUACCCUUUCAUUUUGCCAUUUCUGUACGCGGGAGGGCAUGCGUUUUGACCCGGUGCCUCAUCAGCGCCGCCUGACCAAUCCCACCGCGCCGUGCAGGGCCCCGCCAUCCCCAUGUUCCGACGACACACCAAGGGCGACCGCGAAAUCCACUUCGAGCCGGCGCUGCGCGUCAUCAGCGGCAACUACAUCACCGCCAAGCGACGCGGCGUGCUGGACGGAGUGGACUUCGGGCUGACGGGCGAGGUGGGUGGGCGGGCGGGCAUUGCACCGCGGCGGGCUGGGAGUCUGGGGCACAGGGCUGGGAGUGGGAUAUGGCACGGCUUUGGGGAGUAGAGCACGCCAGACUGCUUGGAAAGGGUGGGAAUUGUCAGAAGAACGAGAGAGAAAGCCGGUUAAAGGGGACCGUGCAGCGCAAGGAAAGCUGCGGCCGGGACCGGGGCCGGGGGCUGUUGCUGACCUGGGGUGGGCGGAAGCAUGAUGGUGGCUGUGUGCUUGAUGAUCAGGAGCUUGGGACGAGGACGACAACACAUGGUGGGCUCAGCAGCGGGCACCUCCUGGUUAGUGACCGGGCGGCUGCGCUCGUCACGCACACGCACUGACUGCACGCCCGCCCGCGCGCAGGUCCGGUUCGUGCUGAAGGACGACAUCCGGCGGCAGCUUGACAGCGGCAACAUCGUGUUCCUGUCCAACAUAGGUCAGCCGGCGGGCAGGGGGGGCUUGGGCAGGCUGGGGACGGGCGCGGUAGGGAGCACGGUGCUGUAAAGAGCACGGGGCGGAGGAGGCGCAGGAGGCAGCGAGGUGACCAUGACUGCGCUGGGGGAAUGGCGGAGGGGGAACGGCAAAGUGCGUGCCCGCCUAGCUUAGGAGACGCAGCUUUUGAUAGUAGGACGCAGGGGUACGGCCGGCGAAUGGGCACUGGGCAGGUUCAGCAUGCACUGGACUCAUGUACGGCCGGCGCAGGGCGUGUAGUGGGCGCGUAGGGGAUAGCUGGUUGCGACCGUGUGGCUCGAGCUCGGCCCUGCCUGAACCCCUCCCGCCCGCAGGCUUCACGGCGUCUGGCGAGGUGCUCAACUGCAACACGUAUGAUGUGGGGCUGCACGCCGCCGCAGAGGUGGGGGCGGUCAGGGCCUCUGGCGCGCUGCUGCCGCUCACGGGUUCAUACCCCUGCACGCACAUGAGCCGGCCUCUCGCCUCUGCCGCUACACAUACAAAUGCUUUUCUCUUACAAUGCACACCUUCACCGCGCCUGCACGUGACCUACACGCCCUCUCCUCCUCCGCCACCUCCCCUGUAUAAUCCCCCGUUCCCCAUUCACUCGUGACCCCGCCCCCCCAUCCGCAGCUGGGCGCCGACAAGCUGUUCUUCCUGCACCUGGACGAGGUGGCGGCGCUGAGCCUGCCGCAGUGGCUGCCGCUGUCGGAGGCGCAGAACAUGCUCAUGGAGAAGCUGCAGGUGGGGCGCGGUGGGGCGUAUGGGGCGCGGGGAGCAGGGGGCAGGAUGGGAGAGAGGAUUGGACAGAGGGUGCAGCCGCGGGGUGCAGGGCAGAGGGCGGAGGAUGGGGACAGGAGCCAGGGCCGGAGCCGGGCCAGGUCGGUAAUUGAAAGGGCGACCCGGUCGCUGCAGCUUGCAUGCGCCAGAGCCCGGUCGAGUGAUGCGCAGCCGCUGCUGCUGCUGCCGCCCGCACCCGCCCUCGCUGCCGCGCAGAACUCCAUCAGCGCACAGCAGAUGGACGCCCUGCGCGCCACCAUGGACGCCACGCCCGCGGAGCCGGUGUCGGCGUACGGCGUGGCCACGUCGCUGUCGCCGGCGCAGCUCAAGACCUACCAGGUGGGGGCCGUGGGAGUCGUGGGGCCCUAGGGAGCGGAAGGCUGGCCCAGGGAAGGAGCUGCGGAGUGGAAAGCCUGGAGGGAGGGGCAAUACGGUCGUAGGGCAGGACCAACCUACCCCUUUCCAGCGAGGACGGGCCGGCCUGUGCUUUGGCACCACCAUACCCCCGACGUCACUGCCUCCCUUCUCCUCCCGCGCUGCCGGGCUUGUAUCGUGACCUGUCCUGCCAGGCCAUGAAGCGCGAGGACCUGGUGGUGGAUCUGGACAUUUGGAGCGCGCAGGGCUUCCCCACUGCCGUGUCCACCUGCGUUGUGGCCUGCUGCAAGGGUGAGCGGAGCGGGGCGGGGCGGGGCCGGUGCUGGAUCAGGGUGAUGACGAAGAUGCGAUCGGCGUGGAAGUGCACGCGGCUGGCUCGCUGCACCGCACAGCGCUGCGGAGCCGCUAUCGGCCCGCUGCAAGACAUCGGCCGCUGCCGCAGCCCUGCUGCGGGCCCCUUGACGCCGAGUCGCCGACUCACAUGUCUCCACGCGCCCGCCGCACCCCCCACCUGUGCAACCCCGUUUACCAGGCGUGAAGCGGGCGCACCUGCUGGACGCACGCAUCGACGGCGGGCUGCUGUUGGAGCUGUACUCGCGGGACGGCGUGGGCACCAUGAUCAGCGCCGACUUCUACGAGGGUGAGCACUGCGGGGGAGGGGGGGCGGGGGCCCGGGCGGCGCCUCAGAGGAACGCCGCGCUUGUGGGAGGUGCUGCGGGCUGGUCCGGAGUGCGGCCCGCGAGGGGUUGUUGGUGGCUUGUGCGCGCAACAGGUCGGCAUGGCACCAGCUGCGGCCUCCCACUGCUGCAGCGUCAUGCAAGUAAGCCCUGCGCUCUACACCUUCCUCCGGGGACCCCCUCUUUGUCCCCCUACCCCACCCCACCCCAGGCAUCCGCAAGGCGCUGCCUAACGACCUGGACGGUCUGGCUGCGCUGCUGGAGCCGCUGGAGAAAGCCGGCAUCCUGGUCAAGCGCAGCCGGGACGAGUUGGCGGACCUGCUGCCCAGCUUCACGGUGAGGCAAAGGCAGGGCAGGGAAGGACUGGCAGGGAGCAAAGGAGGGAGCUGACAGGGUGACACGCGUACGAGGACGGGGAGGCGUGUGAGGGGAGUGGGUUGGAUAGUCGUGACAAGCGAAACCAACCAUGCCGCACUCCAAGGCACGGGGAUUGAACGGGGGCUGACUGAGCACAGGGAGUAAGGGACAGAGGUAUCGGGCGGGGGAGGGGAGGGUAGCAGUCGGGUUCAUCCUAGUACACUGCACGCUGGAUCUGGUGGGGGAGUGUGUAUUGCAAACAGCGGCUGGAGGAAUACAAACUUAAUUAUACUCUAUACUUAUGCAUAGCCAGCUAGCUCGCGACACCACAUGCGGGCCUGGCGGUGCGGUUGACAGCAUGGGCAUUCGUGUACCCGCCUUCCGCCGGUACCCGACUUACGAACACCCCACCCCGGACCUGCCCGACUCGCUCCUCUGACUCGCAUCUUCUGCACUUCAAUCACACUUUCUGACAUCGCGAAAUCCUUGUAAUGCACUGCAACGAGUGAAUGGAGGGCGCGGCCGGGUAACGGUGAUGCCGAGUAUCGUCGGUGAGACAGGAAUUCCCCUCUUUCUCAUUGGGCCAGCAUUUGUCGGGCUUCCACCAUUAUAUAUCAAUUCACAUACCCCAUACAACUCAUUGUGACAGACGCAAACCUAUACCCGCCUCCAGAAGUACCGAGCGCACGACGCCGUGCACCGCUUGAUAAAUCCCUCUCGAGGUUGAGCGCCCUUCCGCCCAAUCCCCGCACCUGUGCGACUCGCUCUUCUGACUGCUGCACAUGAUUACACACUCUUGAUAUGCCGUACGCGCCUGCAGGUGAUUGAGCGAGACAACCGCAUCCUGGGGGCGGCGCUGCUGCUGGACCUGGGCCAGACGCCCGACGGCGUGCCGGUGGCAGAGGUGGGCGCCUUCUGCGUGGACCCCAUCUACAGGUGCGGCGCGGCGCGGCGCGGUGCAACGCAGUGCUGCUGCCACAGGGCAUGAAGGGAAGGGUUUGUGGGCGACAGGGGUGGGCGUGGCAGCAGGGGUAGGCGAAGCCGAAGGGCCAGUAGCGGUUGCGGGGCUCCCACGGGACCCGGUGUGCACGUCUGUAUGCCUCUGACAAUGCCGCGCUCCAUGUGUCCAUCUUGCCCGCAAGCGUCCGCGCAACCGACCUGAUCCCCCACGAGCUCCAUACUCCUGAACCCACAUUGACGCACACAGGGGCAGCGGCCGCGGCGACUCUCUGUUGGACUAUGUGGAGCAGGACGCCCGCUCGCGCGGCAUUGAGCGCCUGGUGCUGCUGACCACGCGCACCGCCGACUGGUUCGAGCAGCGCGACUUCCGCUGGCAGGGCGCGGCCUACGCCUCGGAGCUGCUGCCGCUGGCUCGGCGCUCGCGCAUCAACCCCGCGCGCAAUAGCCAGCUGUAUGUGAAGAACUUGGAGGCGCCGGCCGACAACCUGCAGGCGCCGGGCAAGCGCAUCGGGUUCUGAGGCGCCUGCAGAACAGCGGCGGCGUGCUUUGGUACAGCGUGCGGAAAUUGGGACGCUCGAGGUGGAGGUGUUUGUGCGGUGGGACAGUCGCAGCAUCGCGUCCAGCCACUGAAUUGUUGUGAAACGCAUUCAUCGUGCUGAUAGCAUUGUACGUGGGACGUGGCUCGCGAUGAGAGUGAGUGUGAUCGGUGACCUUGUAUUGCUGGCUGCGUUGGAGUUGGCUCCCCGUGCCCGGCCCAACUGCGCAGGGCCCCACGUCGAGGUGCGGCGAAGGUGGUGUCGCAUGAUGGGGGCGAAGAUUGUGCUUGAUGUAGUUGAUGGAGAGGAGCAGUUCCCGAUUGCCAGUUAUACCGUCUGGUGCGAUAGGACAGGGCAAGGGGCAGGUUGGCGUAGUCCCAUGCUGAUAUAGCUGAGUCCCGAGAAACAAGUUACGCCCAAUCUAGGCGCCGGUGACACAUGGAAUACAUCCCCCCGCGCAAACGAUUAUCCGGCCCCCGUUACCAGUACCGCGGUAAUCCAGAGCUGUUGCGGAAGGAAAACCGUGAACCAGGGGUGCCCCUGCCGUGAACGGAGCGCCCGAGGUUGGGACGAGCUAAGCUGUUUACUGUUGACGAGCGGGAAUGUUAUUGCGCGCUUCUCGUGCUCUGAGUCGCCCGGCCAGGCCACACGCCACAGCUAACACACUGUGCCCUGCGGGAGUGCUAGAAGAUUCGGGACGCGCGCACCUGCAGGGCACGUCAGCGCCCACCGUGAGCCACUGCAAGGAAGAUCCUCAGUAUUCAGUGAUACGAACAGAGUGGCAAAUAAAGAAACAAGGCCGGGCGACAUGUGCGCGAAACGGGGGGAGCAGGGCCGGGCACUGCCAGGCGCUAGUGGCGCUACACUUUGCAAAAUGGCAGUCAGUCUGACGCCGAUCCGCGGCUUAGGUGAGCAGCGCUAGCGUUUGCGGUGAGCCUUGCUCGGGGUUCCUCCCCUCCUUUAGUGAGGCGAGGAGCGUGGGGGUCAUUCGAGGUUCCCUCCUCGAGUGUGCGUACGUGUCUCGUGCGUUUAUGGAGCCCUGGCUUGCCCGUGGCUGUCAUCCCACAUGUAACCUCUAUUCGCUAGUGGCGAUAAGCAGAGCAUUUGGGCGUUAAGGCGCCUAGGCCCAUUCGGAGGGGUCUGUUCGAGAACGCAAUGAUGGUGUGCAGUGACAACAGCACGCUGGAGGCGCGGAGGCGUAGCUAAAGCUGGUGCCGCGUGCCGCACGCCUGGCGCCCGGCUGGGUAGUUGCGGCAACGGUGUGAUGGCGGAGCCACAAGGAGCCGGGCUCGCAAGGAGCUCCCAGAUGGCGACGACAGCGGGCUGGCUGUUAGCUGGGACGUAAUGGCCAUCAGACCCUGUCCAGGACGAGUUAACAGACACCAGGCCAGCGUGACGACAAGUGUUCCGCGGUCACGGGAAAAGGGGCUGAGCCCCUCCACAGUCUGAGGCCGAACAACCUCAUCGCCCGGACAUAGCCGGGGUCGGUUUCCACAGGCACAUACCGUACUGACGCUUGAAAUUUUAUCUCUAAUAAUUUUAGCGGUGCGCGGAGGGGCUGGUUUAUGUUUUUAACUUUUAUCCCGGGGGCCAGUCAGGUCUUGAAGUUUUAUGGGACGGAUGGCGGUGUGGCGUGCCACGCGUGGACCAGCUCUAACACAGCGUCAAAAGCCUUUCCUGUGCUUCGAAUGCAGCUAAGCAGCAUUCGCUACAACUUCCGACCCCAAACAGACCAAAUUCCAGCAGGCUUUGUCCCCAGACAUGUCCAAUUACGUCUCUGAACAUGUCUAGAAAUUUUAUCCGACCCCCUGGAAUUUGGCCCAUUUGCUCAGUAUUAGUUUUAUUUUGACGUUUUCGAAUAUAAUAAAAAAGAUUUCAAGCGUCAGUACGGUAGCCAAACCAGGUGCCUAGCAAUCGCGAUGCCACAGCAGAGCCAACUGUAGCCAGACGCAGCACAGUUGUCAACAGCCGCACUGCUUGUCAUGCCGCUACGGAUGCCCUGCCAGCCCCACCGCGGACCGCUACCUAGACACCGCCAGCCGGCUCCUCAGCCUGCGCGCUUGCGCCGCUUCUUGGGCGGCGCUGCGCUCUCCUCCUCCACGUGGCCUUUCCCGCCCCCUCCGCUACCAAGAUGCGCGCACGCGCCCCCGCUGCUGCCGCUGCCGCCGCCGCCGCUGCCGCCGCCGCCGCUGCCGCCGCCGCCGCUGCCGCCGCCACUGCCGCCGCUGCCGCCGCCGCCGCUGCCGCCGCCGCCGCUGCCACCUCCGCCGCCGCCGCCGCCGCCAGUCUGCAGCGAUGCAGGUCGCUUGUGCCCCAGCAGCAUCUCCACCAGCGCGUGCCGGAUGUUGGUUGCGGAGUUGACGUCACGUCCCUGCACCGUCGGGAGGGUAGAGUGAGUGAGUCCCACUGAGCCCAUGACUGAGCCGUCACCCAGCCGUCUCUCAGCCAUCACCCACUGAGCCCCACUGAGCCCCACUGAGCCGUCACCCAGCCAGCAAUCACCCACUGAGCCCCACUGAGCCGCCACCCAGCGACCCAUCCAUCGCCCAGCCAGCCGCCCGCCCACAAAGUGGACUCACCCACACCGUCCCGCAGUGGUUGCACACUUGGACUUAGUGAGCACGUAAGCCCCCCCAUGGUACGACCGCCUGCAGGCAGCGCUGCCCGUUGCCGUGUAAGCGCCGCCCGCACUUCGCACACACCUGGGGAGGGAGGGGGCAGGAGUACAGUGUGAACCUUGCUGGCUACCCGGCUACCUGUACCGUACACGAGCCCCAUCCUGUCCACCCGACCACCUGUCUACUCAUUCCAACCCGUCUGCUCUCAUCUUGCCUGCGAUGUGUAGAACUCGUCCACGUACACCACCAGGUGCGCGUACUUGUCCACCAGCAGGCGGAGCAGUGCCCGGUUUGGGCCCCGCCCCAACCUGCUGAUGCAACCGCCAUAGCCAGUGUUGGCGUUGCCCCAGCCAACAAUGACCUCCUCCUUGGGCCUUCCACCAGCCAGCUGCUGCGCCGUGUGCUCCAGCACCUGUACCCGUGGCAUUGGUGUAGCGUCAGCGCAGUGCAGUUGGUGUGGGUGCAUCUGCUGGUCCCUCCCCUCAACCCCCACCUUCUGCGUCCGCACAUGGACAGUCAGGCGCCACCGCCGCUGGCCCCACUGCCGGUAGAAACGGAGCAGAUGCCACAGCCCGUACUGUUGCACCGGCGCAGGCGCAGACCCGGCCGCCGCCGCCGCGUCCACGCCACCUCCAGAGUAGAGGUAGCGUAUUCGCCGCUCAUGGUCAGCUGCCGACGCCACCCGCGCACUGGGUAUCCCCGCCUGACAGCGCUUGAGCGCCGGCUGCUCCUUUAGCCGUGCCUGCAGCCACAGCCGACGGCCUGUCUGGCCUGUGCAGUGGCGGUAGCCAGCGCCAGACAGCCGGAUAAAGCAGGCGCGCUGCUGGCGGCGCCGUUCUGUUGCGGCACGCUGAUGCGUGUGCUGGCGCGUGCCCCGCCACCCUCGCCUCUUGCCCUUCCACCUCCCGCCCCCCUUGCGCCGCCACCUCCGUUUCUGGCCCCGCCGACGCCGUCGCUGCUGUCGCCGCUGCCGCCGCUGCUGCCGCUGCCAUCGCCGCUGUUGCCGUCGCCGCCGUCGCUGCAGUGGGGGCUGGGCAGGCCCAGGAGCCUGGCCAUCUGGGCCACGCCAGACGUGCGCGGCUCGUGGCCGGCCACUGUAGCUGUGCGGUGAGAAGCCUGGCAUUGACGAAAACUGAGGACCAACCCUGAACUACGGUCGCCCACAACUCUGCAGUUAUUUAUACCGUAUUGGAUAGCUGAUUUGAACGCUCUCGUUGACUACUUCCCCCUUCAGGGAACAAUUCCAGGGAAGACACAACCGGAUUAGAGCAUCUUGGGAGUCAUCUAGCGAGGAUAGCACAGGUGGGCUGCAAGAACCCGGUCUGAAAGCCACACAGGUGGGCUGCAAGAAUCCGGUCUGAAAGCCACGAUGCCAUACGCUGUUACCACAGGCUCUGGCGAACGGGUUACAAGUUCAUCAAGCUUCAGUUUUAAUCCAGUUCUCACGCAUACGAUUCACUAUUGUCCACCUGCAGUGUUCCGGAUCUGGAACCACACA
rnacentral:lncRNA from 1 species